GGCAACAACGUGGCUGCGUUACAAAGCGCUCCCCUGCCAGAUGGCGGUAUCCGCUGCGCUGGUCGCGCCACCUGUCUUUGUGUGCGUCGUGGAAUUUUACGUGUGAUUCUGCAGCAAACUAAACAGGAGAUCCGGAGUCCACAAGCACGCGGCAGCGACAGCCGCCAAACACUGCUCUUCUUCUUCAAAAUCGCGGGAUCCGCUACGGCGUUGCUUCAAGGCGAGCCACCCGCUCCCAAUCUGACACGCGGACCUUGCUUCGUCGUCGUCGUCGUCACUAGCAUCGCCGCCGAAUCGCGCCGGUGGAAACUCUUCUCUGGUCCCCCAUUGGGCGCUGCUUCCCGGCCCGCAGUGGUCAUCGUCAGCGGCACCGAGUAUGGGCGACAUCAAAUUGGUUGUAUGGGAGUCGUUUGAUGAUAGAAUACAUGUUCUGCGCAUAUGGAUGAGUCUACUAUAGCUGCAGACUGACGCAUUGUAUCACCGAACAAAGAGAAACAUGGCGACAACCCAAAACAUCAGAUAUCUAACUAUAAGUUCCAGCAGCGUUCCACAUCAAUGCAACUCUCAUAUGCAGAUUGUAAUAGAAACAUAAGUUAUGAAACUAAUGACUUCAUUUCCCCCCAAAAAGAAAAGGCUUCCGUGUUGCUCAAGUGAUUUGUCAUGCUGGAUCCCAGUAACAUCCAUUAAAUUGGGUCUACAUGAAAUCAAAUAUUGUCUGGUUUUCUUCUUUCAGACACUCUGUAGACUGAGAAAGGAAAAAAUAAUGGAAGAAAUGAAGGCAGUUGUGAAGUUAUCGAAUGGCCAUAAAUAGAGGAAGCAAUUCCUGCAUCGACGAUAAGCAGCAUCAGCAUUAUCCAUCAGAAAAUGGAAAAAGAAUCUUCUUCUCAUAUGUGAAGCUAAUUGCAAUAGAACUUAUGGGGCUCUGUCAAAGGGGGAAGUGUCAUUGUAGCAGAUGUCCCAGACAGCCUCAAUGGCAUCUUUUGCAGCUACAGCUGAGCAAUAUGGAUUGUUCUGAACCGACUUUAGAGCACGCCUUCGCACACAUUCCUUUGUGUCCCCAAUAAAUAUGAGACAAAAUAUUGCAAUUAGUGUAGCCAUUAUUUGAUUAAUACAACGCUGACAGUAUUAACAAGGACAGAGUAGAAAAAUCAUCAGACAACAUAGUUGAUUAAUUCAUGGAGCAUGGUAACAAUUUCUCAUGUGUAUUAAAUAGCAUAUGAAGAGGACAAAAGAAAAAGAGAGAAAGAGUUGGUUUGCAUAACUAGAAGUUAAAGAAAUUUGGCAUCACUACAGGAGCAGCCAACUCUGUUAAGCUUUUGCAACCUACAACUGAUUUCACAUCCCAAGAAAGCUUGUUCAUUCUCUUAUACAACUUUUUAGUUAAAUAUAAUGAUAACAAAACUGAUCAAAUAGAUUUUUCCUGACCUUUUGCAAAUAUUUCUUCAACCAAGAUCUUGCCAUCCAACAGUAAAUAUAUAAAGAAACAAUCGGGUCAAGUUGAACAUAUGUCCAAUGCAUAAGCUGCAUUGGUGUAAAUUCUGCUUUCAGAUUCGAUGUUAUUUUUGUCCACACAGGUGGCACUUCCUAAGUCCAUCCAGACUGACAUUUAUAAGGUUUUGGUUAAAUGUUGCAAGUUCUUAUCACAAAGGUUUGAGGACUCGAUCUACAUGACCAUAAAGACCCAUUUAUUAUAUGUAGGAUGCACGAUUUGCAGCAUAAAAAACCAUCAAGUUAUCAUGAACAAGCCUAUCACCUAUUAAGAAACCAUAAGAAACCAGAGGUCACGAAAUCCUAAGCUGAAGAUGUGGUUGAUGUCCAACAACCUCAUAGAACCAACUUCUUUACAUGAUAUCCAUGCUUUAUUGGCUGCUAUCAGUCUCUUAUCACUACUGAUUUCUGUGUGUCAGAAUGCAUUCAUUCAUUGAAAUCAUAAGUGCUCUAAUUUUAUCAGAUAUUCACCCUCAAUAGAGUUAGUUUCUUAAUAUUGAGUUAGAUAUUCACUAAAAUCACCAGCAAUAGAUAUUCACCCUCAAUGAAAUCAGCAUGAUGACUUUAUUUCUUUAUUUCUACAAGUCCUAAUUUUGGUGGUCUAAUAUGUUCUCUCUAGACUCAUCCAGAAAAACCCCACUCCUAAAGCUUAGUUCUUCAUUUAGUUCACUCUAAGAAACAAAACCCAGUCAGAAUAAAUACUUUCAAAAUAAAGGACAAAUUUCAGAUUUUUUGCAUCUGUCAUGGUCAUGAUAAUAAUAAUUGAACUAUUGAUCAUAUCUUAAGUCAUUAUCAUUAUGCAAGAAUACAGAAAGAAAGUGUGUGUGCAGGGUCUUCAAAACUUUUUCACAUCUAAAUUGGCAGGAGAAAGAGGUGGACUAGAAAUUGUUGGGACAGUACCUUUAUGGACAUUUAGAGAAAAGAAUGAAAUACGAGAACAUUCAAUGGAGUACCAAGGAUUCUUGUACUUUGAUUGGAGAGGUCACCAACAAUUUCUCCCCUCAAAGAAGUCAAUCUUCUACUAGUGACUAAACUUCUGAAAAGCUCUUUACACAAGCUAUUUUGUCAUCCUGAUGAAGCUAGGGGCGAUAUCAAAUGAUGUAUAAGACUUUGCAUAUAUAUUAUUUUAUUUAUUUUUUCCUUUCUUUUUUUCUUCUAUGUUUGCUCACUAACUAAAUGAGAUAAGUCAGCAACAUUUUUUACUUUACCCAAGAAAAUCCCUAUAAGCAACUUUUGACAUGACCAUAGAUAAAUAAUCACAAAUCCAAAGUAAAAAUAGUUUGUAGGGCUCUUACUAAGCCAUAUAGCUACAAAAUCCAAUAUCUGCAUAAAGUUCAUAUUGAGUUCCAAAUGAUUGAUAGAGAUGAAGUAAUGGUAGUUCUUGUACUCAGCCAACUGUUAUUUUAAAGUUUUUACAAAUUUCAAAUUACAACCAAUCAAUACAAAAUUGCAAAAAAAAGAAAGCAUUAAAAUCAUAACUUAUAGAUGUAUGAAGAAAAUAAGAAUAAGAAAAAAAGGCUCUUGACAAAAAGAUUUGGCCAAAGAUACUUCUAGCAGCAGGUCACAGCAGGAAUCAAGACACAUCAUAAGGAAAAAUCUUCAGAAAUAGAUAAUAAUAAGUAAAAAAUUGAAAAGUGGAUUACAAAAGAUCAUGUUAAAAAUUAUAUCAAUGUAGUUUUCCAGUGACAAUCAGGAAAUAGAUGUCUCCAUGUAUAUUCAUAUGUACCUAAAUCAACAUAUGCUGAAUGAUGCUGAUCUUGACAAAUUUCAUAAUAAAUACCAAGGUCCAUGUCCCUAAUUCUCACUUGCAUAUUCUCCAUACUGUGGUUUCAAAAGGGAUAUUAUGGUGCUUGUUCAAGUUUCAUUUCACAAAAUGAUGAUGAUGAUGUUAGGUUGAGCAGAUAUCCUAACAAAGGAAAAAAGUGAAACUGUGUAUGAUUCAAGUAUCACGAUGACAUUGAAUAGGUUCACAAUACUAUACUCUAAUAAAUCAUCUUGAAGUGAUUGCAGUCAAACAAAAUUUUGGUUAAAUAUCAGUGACUGUUCUUGGAGAAGUAUGCAUCUCUAGCGUAAUCUCUCCACAAUGAUGUGAAGGUCAGUGCAGGGCAGGCAACAACUUUCAAUAAACCAUGUGUAAAAUUCAAUUAGUGUGCCCCGCUCUGCAUUGAGAACUAGAACACAUUCAUAUAUAUCUAAAUAUAUCUCACAAAACAACAUAUACAAGUUUAUGCUAGUCCUUGUUACAUUAAAUAGAAAAGCUGAACAAUAGAUUUUCCAAGUUCUAACAUAAACUCACUUGUCCAUGGCCUCGUAUUUUCAAAAACCCACGUAGCAGUUCUCGCUUGUAAUGGCAAUCCCCACUCAGAUGAUUAGCCCGAAUCUAGAAGAACAAGUCAGAGUAUUCAUUCACUUUCAAGAAAAAACAAUCUUGUGAAUGCUACUGAAAACUUUGAUGCAUAAGCUCUGGAUCAAAGACUAUAAGAAACAGUUCUCUGACAUUCCAAUGCCCAGCAACAGACUGAAAGGUCAACACUACAUAAAUGUCUACCAGCAAGUAUUAAAGCCUCCUAGUAAUACUGUACCUCAGAGCAAGCAUGAUGGGCACAAUUUGUCCACUCCAUGUUUUUUGCUCGGCAAUCGUCAUAAGCGUGGAUUAACUCAUGAAUAAUAACUUGAUUUAUCUCAUCUUGAAAAGUCAUAUGAUUACAACAAAUUGUUAUCUGAAAUACAAAAAUUAGUAAAGUUGAAUUAGACUCAGAUGGUCUAUCUUAUACAUCAACAAAUACAAAGGCUAAUUAAAUCAAACAACUCGCUAAGACUUCUUAUAUUAUCUGAACACAAAGUUGCAGAACAAAUUUAUCAGCAAUAAUUGCAACUGUAUUCUCUUUUGUGCUAUUCAUUUGAGAGAUUACAGGGUGCAGUGGAACAAUGUAAACUGCAAUGUGCAUGAGUAUCCAAUUCUAAAAAGUCACCAAAUUCAACCAAGACAAUUCUUGACCCACAGAUAGAACAAGCCACAAUGUACCUUUGUCUAUGGUAUAUUUCUGAAAUUUGCAGAAGACAUGAAGAAAAAGCUCUACAAAUCAAAUCCCAAAAAUCAAUUGGCAAUUCUGAACUCUCCACAGGGAAACAUACUAGAUUUGGCAAAUGAUGUAAGACCCACAAAGAGGCAAACCAGGACCAAAGAAAUACAAGAAACUCUCCAAGUAUAAAAAUGGAGCAGGCAGAUAAAAGUUUGCUAGGUUAGGCAAACCAUUUAGAUGAAAGUCAUUACACAGAUCUAAGAAGUCCUACCCUGCUCCUUCCAACAUUGAAGCAAGAGUUAUGCAUAACAAUUUAAUAUAAUUAUUACACAUUUUGGUUUUUAGUUUGUAAAUAAAAAGUAAAUGAGUUUUCUUUAUAGAAUUUUGUGAUGCAGUUGUCAUCUCAAAUUCUGGAUGUUCAACUGUAGGUAGCUCUGGGACCAGAUAAAUUCUAACUAUUAUAAACAACCUAAGAACAUUUUGUUCCAUGUUCCACAUGCUUGCAGUUAAUCUGGCCUUCACUACGAUUUUGCAUUAAGCUGGAUGGUUGGUAACGCAUUGGCAGCAGUCUUGGAAGUUGACCAUUAACAAUUUAAUUGAUGGUUUUGGCGAGAGGCUACUACUAUAUUUUUAUCCAUACUUCCAUAUAAUAAAAAAACCUGUAACAAAUGUCACGUAAGCUAUAAUAUUACACUAGCAAGUGCCAAAAGAUCACUUAGAUAAAAGUUCUAAAUUUUUUUCAAGGAGAUUAAAAAUUUUGUAUUGGCAUCUUUUCUCCCCAAAUACUUUCCCUCAUAGAUAUUAUGACAUGCUUCCUUCAGUUUAGUGAUUGUUCUUCCCCUGUUGGUCUUCCGAUCAUUGGUCUUUUAUGUCGUGUUCUAGAAAUUCUAUACACCUGAUGGCCUAAUCAUGUUCUACAGGUUUGUUAAUUCCUGGAUGAUAUUUCACAUCUACCUGAAAUACAGUUCCAUUCAAAUUACUACUUGAUCGCUCUAGGAGUCAGCCCAUGUGGAAUUGUGCAUAUCCUUCAUUUGCUACUAAGACAUAAAACCUCAAAGGUGCAUGAGAAGAGAAUAUGUUACUCUAAUUAAAUUUGGAGCAUUAUUCCCUUCUCAAACUUCAAUGCUUUAGGAUUCUAAUCAUGUAAAGAACAACAGGUGGUGGUUCCCAACUUAUUCAGCACAAUGUACCCCUUGGGCUGAUAUCACUAUCAACUACUAAUAGUUGCUGAUCACUGAAAGCCUUUGUGCUGACUUUCCCUUGUGAAACGCUAAUAGAAGAAAGGUCAAUGGUGAUACAACUAAAAAUUAAAAAAGCUGCACCUCAAGUUGUUAGUCCCUCAUGAUUUGGUUGGUUCUUAAGUAUUAUGUUCUUUCAUUCCAAGAUUUAUGUUCUAAAAAAAAAGUAACAAGACUCGAACUACACACACUAAUAACUUAAACCAAAAAGAGGACUGAGCAGAUCUUGUGUGAAAAAGGAGAGAUAAAAUUCGAAGCUUUCAUCUACUACUACAAUGGACCAUCGACAAAAUGUUCUCCUUGGGCACAUUUAAACUGUGAUGAAAAUUUUCUAACCAUGACUGGGAAUGAUUAAAGAGCCAAUCGACCAAAAAGACUAAAUCUUGAUGUUGAACCUGACUAUAUUAUUCAAGACUAGCAUCUAAAGCUUAAAAACACGAAUUGAGCAUGCGAUGUACUGAAGUCCAAUUCAUAUUUAAAAGCAAAGCAAUAGCACGUAAUCAAAUGUCAAUAAUUCCACUUGUUGAGAAGCGACACUGUCCAACAACAAAGCAGAAUCACUUUCUAUCAAGAAGCAAUACCACAUGUUGUCCAAGAGUACGAGAAAGAAGACAACAGAGAAGGGUCAAGUUCUAUAUCAAAUUAAAGAUACCCCACGGCCACUGGCGUAGCCACCGGCGGAACUCUGGCCUUUGCAGGUGAUCGCCGUGAGCAGGCGCGGCCACACGGGGCAACCGGCGUUCUCCAUCUUCUCCCUUAGGAACUUCACCGUGGGAUCUGAUACAACAUCCACAGACAUUACCAAAAGGUUGAAGUGUAAUCACGGAUUGGAAUUCUCCGUAGCGGAGUGUAAGAAACGAACGUGCGAGGCUCUUGUUGAUGCCAUCGACGCACUCCUUGUGGGACAUGCCGCCACCACCGCCGGCUGCAGCAGCCGCGCCCUCCGCGGCCCCGUCCAUCGGCAACGCCUCACCCCCGAUAUCUUCGCUCCUUCUUGGCGGCGACGAAGAAAUCGUUCGACCAGAGCUCUCGGCCUUUCUCAAGCUGCUUCCAUCUUGGCCGUCCGUUUCAUCGUCGCGAGUCCCAUCGUAAAGCGGGUGCGGGUCGGCCACUUCCGCCCGAUGACGUUUACGACUCGUUUACCCGUUUAGCCGCAUGAAAAAGAUCAAAAAAGGGAAAUCUAAAAUAAAAAGAAGAAAAUUGAAAGCCAAAUCAUGGCUUCUCGUGUCCGAAAUUACUAUUGAGCACAAACGUCACGAAGCAUAACGAAUCAUAACGACGGUCGAGAUAAAAGAAUCGAGCCGCACGGAAGGUCCAGAUUAAUUAAUCUUCUAACUUCUUUAUGUUGAGGCACCAUUUGGGACGCGAGAACCCGCAACGAUCUCCUCAAUGGUGUCGGAGUCGGUCAUUCCGCCGUUGACGACGCGAGUCUUUAACCCAACCCUAAUAACUUCCACUUACCCGUUUGUCGAAGUAUAAAGCCGUCACGUCGCAGUCCACCACCUGCACGAGGGAAGGGGCCCAACAUCUCCGCCGGGAAGGCCGUCGCCGGGAUCCUCCGCACAUCGCUUGGCCCCAUGGGCAUGGACAAGAUGCUCCAGAUCCCCGACGGCGACGUCGUCAUCAGUCAGUAUGCGCCCCCAUCUUUCUAUCCAUUGCCUCUGCUUAAAUAUUGUUUUUGCCUGCUGAUCUUGGCGACGAUUAGUGAAAAAAAACCCUAUUUUUCUUCACCUUGUCUUUAUUUUUUGGUUUGAGGAUUGGUUUGAUGACAAUGGAUGUGAAAAAUUAAAUACUGGUACAAUUGGUACAACAGAAUACUAGUACACAUUGGGAUUGCUAUAGCAUGGUUAGUAUAGUGUUUGAAACCAUGCAAAAUAUUUUAGGUAUUAAAUGCUUCAGGCCUAACUUGAUAAUCUUUUAGGUAUCAGUUAUGAAAGUUUAUUUUGUAACUUUCAUUUUCAUAGCAUCUGCAUUGCAAACACUAGAUAGCCAUGCAGCCAUAAGUUUAGAUGUUUUGAGUGUUAAUGCUCUAAAUUUAAGCAUAACAAUGUUAUUUUUAUGAACUGUGAUGAUUUAUAUCUUGGUCAUAUCUAGCAAUAUUAAGAAGUAAGAACAUCCUCCUACCCAAAGUAGGUGUUUAGAUGAUUCAGCAUGCUGCGACAAUGAUAGGUAGUGUUGGAUUACCACCCAUUAUAGGGGAAAUUUACUGUCAACUUCUCAGCCAUCAACCUUGUCAAUGCACAUCUGGCAUAUUUCCCAUUAGCAAUAUUAUUUUAGGCACACAUGAUGAUUAACUGUUCAUGUCUAAUCUCUUACAUUUCUCAUGGCUUACUCCUUGUUGAAACGGACUUUCUCUGUGAGCAUUUGCAGAUGGUAUAGUCAGUUGGCCUUUACAAUUGGCAGAUAAUUGUAUCCUUUAAGUUUACUCAGAAUAUUUCAUGUUUAAUGUAAGAUUGAACAAUGAAUAUUUGUUGUCUGAACUUUCUUUCCCAUGGUUGGUGCAGGAAAAUAAUCCAUGUUGCUGCAUAGAUUGCAAUGAUGUUGGGACAAAUAACAUGAAAGAGCAGAAUGUGUUUGAAACACUGAUUGGCAAACAACGACAGAUCUUGCUUGCAACACAAGUUGUGAAAAUGAUUUUGAAGAUUGAUGAUGUGAUCACUCCGUCUGACUAUCGAUUUUGGUGGCUGAGGUUGUGAGCUAGGACAUAAACUAUCAGAAUUCGCCAUUGCUAAGUGGAAGAAGAAUCAGCCAGGCAUGCGAGACAUCUCCUUGUAUCUCCUUUGUGCCUUUUUAUUGAUUUGCGAGUGUAUGAUUAUUGAUCUUGCAAUAAUUUUGUCACCGGUUUCUCUGCAGGCAUCAUUUGCAUUUUAUGGAUGCAUGUGUUUUUGGGCAAAUUGGUCAUCUGAAGUUCGGAUCACACAGAAGUUGACUAAUCGUUGCAAUUGAAAACCACUGGCAGACGGCACUCAACUUGGGUAACUAGAUUUUCUUUGCAAUGCCCGACAUUAUUGUCUUCCUUGAUUGGAAAAUUUUGAUAAGUAGAACUGUUAAUAUAUUAGACAGAGUGCAUAACUUGAGUUUAGGUAUUUUGAACUAGUAGAUCACUUAUGUCGUUAAGUUAUUAUUUCUUUAUUGUUUAGCUCUUCCUUGUCAAAAUUCAUGUGUAUUAAAUCAUGAUAGUGGCGGUAAUGUGGAUUAUGGUGAUUAUUUAUUUUAUAAGACUAGUUGGUAAUAUUGUUUUCGGCCAUGAAUGGGGUCUUUUGGACUAUGAAACCCGAGCAAAAGAACAAAGGAAAAGAUGCCUCUAUAUUGUCAUCUAGAUUAAAGAUGUUCCAUGCUUAAUUUUUUCGCGAUAAAAUUGUCGAGUCUUUGGUGUAGUGGUAAGAUUCCUUGGGAACAAAGUAUGAACAAUCCUUAGGAGUAGAAAAUUAAAGACUCAAAAGAAGAAUAUAUAGCAGCUUUUCUUUGGAAGAUGAUUAAGAAAAGAAAAAUCCCAUAAUGGAGUAUAAUGGCAUAUGGUUGAGGAUUCGUAUCAAACAGGAUCACACGAUACUUUGGGUUUUGAAUAUUGAAGACUUGGAAGAGCCUACACUCCACUGUUCUCUCCCCCGAGGAAAGUCCCUAAAACAAGUUGCCUGCACAGCCAGCAUCUUCUAAUCUUCUUUACCUCUCACAAGUCUGGAGGAUGCGUAAUGACAUGGAACAGCCAAUCGUAGCCUUCCCACCAAAAGCGUGGCUGGCACGGCAGUAUAUAAGAAAGACGGCACCACCGCUGCCUCCCAUUCUUCAUCAUGCAGGCACUGUCGGUAGGCAAUCACUUUGUCCACGUCUGAAAGCAACAUGUAACUAAGAUUGUGGAAGAAACAUGCACUGCUUGGAUAAUUCAUCUAUUAAUUUUGUUGGAUCUUAAGUGUUUUAAGUCUGAAUUAAUAAUUAGUAGAAUAAUCGAGUUCUUAUACACUAACUUAAGUUUUCUUUGACUUCUUAUAUGAGGAUUAAAUUUAGACUAUCGGUAGAUAGAACUAGGGAACACGUUAUAAUAUUGAAGCAUCGCACAUAUAUACACCAUGUUAGUACUCAAAUUUAUAAUACACUUGAUUAAUCCUACGUUGAAAAUAGAAGAGAAUUGAAUAAACUUAGAUGACCAUCAUUAAUUUUGACCUUGACAUUUUAUUCCCUCCAGAUGGAUCUUUGUUAUAAUAUGGAAGCGUCGCACACAUAUACCAUGUUAGUACUCAAAAUUCAUAAUACACUUCGAUUAAUCUUACAUCGAAAAUAGAAGAAGAAUUGAAUAGACUUAGGUGACUAUCAUUAAUUUCGACCUAGACAUUUUAUCCCCUCAAGAUGGAUCGUCGCUAUAAUAUGGAAGCAUUGCCCACAUAUACCANNNNNNNNNNNNNNNNNNNNAAAUUUAUAAUAUAUUUGAUUAAUCCUACAUCGAAAAUAGAAGAAGAAUUGAAUAGAAUUAGAUGACUAUCAUUAUUUUCGACCUAGACAUUUUAUCCCCUUAAGAUGGAUCAUCGCUAUAAUAUGGAAGCAUUGCCCACAUAUACCAUGUUAGUACUCAAAUUUAUAAUACACUUGAUUAAUUCUACAUCAAAAAUAGAAGAAGAAUUGAAUAGAAUUAGAUGACUCAUUAAUUUCGACCUAGACAUUUUAUCCCCUCGAUAUGGAUCGUCGCGAGGUUAGUUGGUAGUUGGUGUCAUAUGGCCAGCGGGAUGGUGAUAGAAUUGGUUGGGUGUGAGAUGCCAUUGAUGCCAAAAGCUCUAUUUAUGGACCUGUUGCAAACAAUAAUAUAAGAAGACUGCAUAGGACCACAGGGAAUUGGAGUCGCUUUCUCCAGUAAGUGGCUGCUUUAAAGAACUGUAAGCGUGUCAAAACGAGGCUCAACAUAUCGCAAGCAAUCAUUGAUUUAUUGCUUGUAAUGCGUAAUAAGUGAGAGUACCUUAUGCAAGUCAACCAUAUGUAGCUUGACCAGAAAGAUCUGAGGAUGGAUUGCCACCAAACUAUGGCAACUUUGGCAAGAGAAGGACUAUUUGAAUCUAUGAACCAUUGAAUUAGAAAAAAGAAGGCAAACAAUUUGGUACACUGCAAAUUAAAUUACCUAAGUACAUUUGUCAGCUUUAUACAUUUGAAGGAUCCAAAGUGCUUCACCUGUUGAGACUUCCUUGAACUGCAAGGAUGCAUCAUCUAACGAGGUUCACUGUUAUAUACACUUCAACAUGAACUAUGAACAGAUCAAGCUAUAGUCAUAUGAACAAGAGGAGAUUUUGAUUAGUGCUGGAAGCAAUUGAAUGGAACUGCAAAGAAUCAGCAGGGCGUCAGGACACGAAGCGACUGAACUAACUAAGAUUGAUGUUGACUUGCUCUGGCAUCGCUCUUUCGGUCUGCUGUGCAGGAAGUUCAGUGCCGAGCUGCCCCUUAUCACCCGCUCCGAAUGCAUACAGUUUCCCGGAAUCUGUUAGAGCAAAGGUAUGCGCGUUCCAGUAGACCGAGUUGGUGAGACUAAUCUGCACUACCCUCUCAUUGAUGUUCUUAAGUGAAGUCACUAAUUUUGGGCUGAGUACAUUGGCAUGCCUGUUACCCUGCAAACAAGACAAAGCUUGGAAUUAGCUGACAUUAUCGAAAUUGCUCGGGCAACGCUAAGACUGGAGGGGAUGCAAUCUAUUGCCAAGUUUGCAAACAGUUUAACAUCUGAAGACCCUAACAAGGUUCACUUAGAACAAGAAAAGGAUUAAAAAAAGAGGCAAAGAAGUAGCGCUGCCCUCAAAAACCUCAGGGACUAGUGGAAUGCAAUGGUGUUAGAUUUUAGUUUCAUAUACCGCGCAAUAAGAGAUCAACUAGGAAAACAUGACAAACCUGUCCAUCAAUGACGGAGGAAUGACCCAAACUUGAGGAUUCUCCAUAACCAAAUGAGUAAACAUCCCCAGUAUCAGAAACAACGAAUGUAGUGUAGUCGCCCGUUGCGACAUGUACAGCCUUUAUGUUGUCCAAGGAUUCCACGACCUUGGGAACAGAUUCAGACUCCUCAUUCCCAUGGCCCAAGCACCCAUAGCGCCCCCAUCCCCAUGUACAUGUCCGCCCAUCUUGUCCCACGACGGCAGCAUGCCAGGCACCAGCUGCAACCACCCUAGGCUGCAGGUUUAAAGUCUGGAAGUGCUCGAUCAACCUUGGAUACUUCUCAUCAGUCAUGGAACCAUGCCCAAGUUUCCCUCCUAAGCCACAGCCCACAGAGUAGACCGACCUGCAUUACAAUGAAAUUAUAAACAUUAGGAUAUAAUUAAACAUUCGAAUUCACUGUAAGUAUGCUGUUGAAUCCCCUAGCAAAACCAGUGGAGUAUAACAGCAAUGAAAAAGCUAAUGCAAUCCCUACAAAUAACAAGUAAUGCAAUUGUGGAAACUAUGUGUUCUUGAAGAACAUUUCAAAAGAUGUCAUCAUAGCAGAAUUCUCUUGAUGUUGUCUGAGCACCACAUAAAGUUUGCAUAUACAUAUGUGUGUGUGUGUGUAUGUGUUGCAAACUACUCAGGCAAUCUCAUAUCCAGCAAGAAAGAAAUAAGGACUAUAGCUGAUCUUUUAAAGUAUCAAGAGAUUAAGAGUGGAAGAAAGCUUACAUGCCGCUUGGUUGACAUGCCAGUGCUAGAAGGUAACAGUAGCCAGCGGCAAUCUGAACCACUGGUAUGUUCUCAAGAGGACCCAAUAGCGGAUGUGGUUCCAAGUCACUUGGUUCUGUGCGAUGACCGAGCUUUGAUUCAUUUCCCCAACAGAAAGUGUAGACUCUGCCUUCUCGAGAAAGAACUGCACUGAAGAAAUUUCCUAUUGCUGCCUGAACCACAUAUAUGUCUUUCAAUGAUUUCACCAGUCGCGGUGUAGUGACAACCUUGGACCCUUCAAUUGUGUGUUCUGCCUCACCAAAUGAUUCCUUCCCGAAAGCAUAAACCUGUCCAGCAUCACUGAUCAGCAUUGUUCGCCCUGCUCCGGCGGCUGCUUGUAUAAUCCGAAUGCCUUGCAGCGAUCUGUCAAGCACCAAACCUUUCUUGUUCAUGGUACGUGUUAAUGUGCACCUGAGUGUAUGAAGCAACUGAAAAUUUUAAAGCACCUUAUAAGUCGUGGCCUCCAUUCCUCCUCCAAGGUGCCAUGGCCGAGCUGUCCUGAGCUGUUGGAUCCAAAGGAAUAUACAGAUCCAGAUGAAGUCACGGCAAUGCUGUGACUAGGACCCGCAAUUGCCUGAGACUUUUCUCUCCGGCAACAUAUCUCACCUGCCAAUAUAUACCUAAGAACUAAUUUCCAAGAUCCCCCACAGCGUUGUUUAAGAAGUUCUUUUUCUUCUGAAUUCAUUGGCUUGAAGAUGGCCCUUUCCUGGCACAUGUCUAAUGCUGCGAGCUCUGUGAUAGAUAACUGGACCUCAGGAGCAAAAUUUGAAGGCUUUCUGAAAAAUGUACAUGUUGCCUGCCAUGAAUAUCGAAAUCUAUCAGCAACAUUACAGAUCCUUUCAACAAGAGAAACAUAACAAUGAUACUUGCCUCCAGAUUAGCAAGAUCCCGGGGUUCCAAAUCGCAAUUGGUUAGAAUAAUGAGAACGAUAGAGGGGGUUUCAGCCAAGGGGAAUUCCCCUGGGUUCGAGUCACCAAAGCAAUGCCUCUGCACACGUUUGAAGGUUCGCUGCAAUGGGGGCACCAAAGAAAGGGAUGGAUCUACAAUGGUCUGAAACGGUAGGGAAGAACUGCUACCACUAGUGGUGGGAUCCAUCGGGCAAGUGCCCAAGGAUCAAGCAGUAGAGUGAAUCCAAUCCAAGGCUAUAUCCUCGUUCAACUAACUCCAAAGCAGCAGUCUAUAAGAUUGACAAAACCCCGAUUGUCAGCAAAGCAACACUCAGAACUAAUGGCUGCAGUAUUUCUGAGAGAUCAUAUCAACUCCACAGUUCUCGAUCUUCAAACCUCUAUGCUUUGAACAUACAAAGGGUCCGGGAGCAUACUGUAAGUCAUGAAAUAAAACUGCAAAAGCUUCUGUAAAGUUCACAUAAAAUUUCAGAUAACAUACCCAUAAAUCCAUAAUAAGAAAAAGAAGGCACCAAACAAGUAAAACACAAUUGCAAAUUGCAAAUGGAGGCACAGACCAAGAAUGAACAUGGCCAUACUCGCUAAAACCAUUAGCGAGAGAAGUAAUGAGAAAUUCCAGACUAACAACUGGACUAAAGAAGCUGAAAUAACAAGCUUAAAGUAAAAGAGAGUAAAAAGCCAAGUAGAACAAGGAAAGGAAAUGAUGUGUAAGCAGUACCACCUCCCAAAGAAAGCAUAUUCCCAACGAUCAAAGAUCGUCUACAAAGAAAAGCAUUUCACCUCCAAAAGGAUACUUUUCUUAAAAACAUCCAUAGCUGUCCAUCGACUCAACAAUUAGUCAAGCACUAGGAACAAGAAUCUAAAACCAAAUCAACUCGAGAAAAAGAAAGCAGAAAAUACAAAGAAGUCGGGAAUAGAAUUCCCAAAGCACAUAAUUAUUAACACCACUUCAACUCCAAAAGAUCAUAUCUCGAAAGCAAGAUCCGUUCUCUUAGACAACUUACCCAUACGAACAACACAAUCGAACACCGAUGAACACAGAACACCACAUCCUUCGUUCAACCAAAAAAAGCAAUUGCAUCUUGGAGUCGGUUCGUCAUCAAAACCACGGAUCGAAAACAUCCUUCACAAAGAAAAGAGACCAAAUUCCACGGGAAGAGACAGAUGGAGAGGCCCAGGCAGAGAAACAGAGGCAGGAGAAAAGAUCGGAUUUUUACGGUCUAGAUCAAAUCAGAUGGAGCAAGGCAACGACGGGGAACGCGCAGCACACAUCAAAGGCAGCAGAACAUCCACUGAUUCCCCCUGAAGUCUAGGAUGCGGCCGACUGACCCACAGUAGGGCGAUUGCUUCGUGUGCUCCUCCCUGUUCCUCUCCCCGAUCGAAGAUCAGAGUCCGAUUCGGAAAAUGGAAGCGAUCGGAGCACUUGUGUUCUUUGAAUCGGGAUCAAAUAUAGAUUAAGACCGCAGGGAAUCGAGGGGAAGAAUGGGAUGAGAUGAGGAAGAAGUGGGAAGAAAGGGGGGAACGAGAGGACCGAGAUGGGAAUGAGGUGGAGGACAAUUGCUGAGUUUUAUACGCAUGCCGCGACAGCCACGUCAGCGUUCGUAAUGAAGCUAAUGGAUCCAACGUCGGUUGACGGUUUCGGAUGAGGGUUUGGUUAUUAGUGAUCGGAAUCGGGUCGAACUGAGAUGAUCGGAAAAAUAAAAAUAAAAAUUAGAUUUUUGAUCGAAUCGAUUUAAUUAUUGAAUGAGUUAUGUUAAGAAUAAAAUGAAUCGGUCGACUCGACCGAUUUUUUUUUAUAGCCACGUAAGAAUCGAUUGAGAUAAAUAAAACUAAUUUGAUUUUGUAAAUAUAUUAGUAUUACUUAGAUUCCAUUAAUUUAAUUGUUUUAAUUUAUUUAAAAAUAUUUAUAUCAAUUUUGAAAUUAGGAUUAAUAUAAGAAAGUAAUAUCUCCCAUGCAAUCAAUUCUCUCUCUCAUUCUCCCUCCAUUCCUCAUUCUCCCUCCAUUCCUCAUCUCAUAUAGCAUAUAUUUUUUUAAUAAACUAAUAUCAAUUAUUUAUUCAAAAGGAUAUUUAUGUUAAUUUUAAAAUUAUGUUUAACUUAAGAUAGAAAAUGACCUCUUUGGUGCAUUUCUUCCUCCUAUCGUCUUUCUCUUUCUAAUAUUAUGAUUUUAUCAUUUGUAAGAUAGAGAGUGAAUUUGAUGUUUAUAAGACCUUAUGCUCACGAGAAAUUAUCUAUUUUGAGUGGAUCCAAAUAUUUUUUUUUUUGGUCAAGGGUGACUUUGGUACUUAUAGAAAUUAUAUCUUGAGUGUACUUACGAUAAAUUAUCUAUUUUAGAUGAACCUUACAUGAUUUACCAAAAGGGUCUCUUAGGAUAGAAUAUGACUAUAAACCUUACAUGAUUUGCCAAAAAGAUCUCUUAGGAUAGAAUAUGACUCUGAUGCUCAUAAGACCUUGCUCCUGAAAAAUCAUCUAUUUUGGAUAAGUCCUAAAAAGAACUUAUAAGAGUUAAGGUGAACUUAUAAGGGGUAAGGGUGACUUUAUUGUCUCAUGAAAACUAUUUACAUCGGGUGAGCCUCUCAUGGUUUUGCUGCUCCUCCUUUCGGGUGAGAUUUUGUGUUGUCUUCCCCAACACGAACACAUGAGGAAUUGUCUUCUUUCGAUAGAUCUUAUAUUGUUUUAUUUUGUUUAUAAUGUAUCCCAAAAAAGUGUAUUUUAAGGUUAGAUCAUGACUUUGACAUCUGUAAGAUCUAGAUUCAGUCGUAAACUGGGGUGAGGGAUGAAAAAGGUUUUGAACUCAUGCCAACAGAGAGUACUCGGGCCUUUGCUCAGUGAGGAACUCCUUGCCAUACGGACAAUGCAAGGUCUAAUAACGGGAUGAACUACUUCAUGUCAAGAUCGAACUCCUUGCUUUGACUACAGAGGCCAGUGACAAGUAGAGAACUUCUAAUAGUCGAACAUCAUCACACAGUAACAAAAUUUCUUAUCUUAUCACAGGUAAUGAGAUGCCAUUCAACAACGAUAAGUUCAAAGAGUUCUACGCUAACUAUCAGACUGAAGUAACAAAUCCUCAAGCUGUCCAAUUCUUCAAAUCCGAUCUUCGAAUCAGAAUAAGAAAAAGCACAUCAUCCUCUUGUGGUUCUUGUUUGCCCAAAGAGACCACCACUGAAAGAACUGCAGAACAACUGGUCGAGGAUCUUUGAUUACCAAAACAAGCAGCCUCAUGAGUAAAUACCAGCAGUUGCAGUAGCAAAAUCAUUCAAGAAAAUCCAAGGAGCUCUACAAGUAUCUAACAAUAAGAACUCUGGAAGUCAGAGGGCAGCCUAAAUCAUAUCAAACACGAGACUAGCUAGAGAUGCAAUGUCUGAAGCUGAUCUAAUGGCAAGAAUGCUACUGCAGGAUUAGCCAACGAACCUCAAGGCAAGAAUCAACUUGACCCAUUAAGUGGUGGUUUGUAUGAAAGUCUCACGGUAGAAUAAAUUACAGAUGGUUCAGCCAUUGCACCGUUUCCAUAAUCUCCGCAUGCCAACCUCUUGGUGACGGGAGGGAUGAGAUUAACACCAAGCUCGUUGAUUGCAUCUAGAUGGCGCUUUGUAAAGGGAUUAUUCCACAUGAAGGUGUUCAUAGCAGGAGCAACAAAUAUAGGCUUGCUGUAGUCCCAGGCUCGCACAAUACACGUCAGUAGGUUGUCACACAAUCCUCCUGCAAUCUAUACAACGAAGAGCAAAAACUUUAAGAAAAAGGUGAAAAAAAUAUAUAUUUGGCACACAAACUAUGUAGUCAAGUAAUCUUUGUACCUUCGCAAGAGUAUUUGCUGACAGUGGGGCAAUAACCAUGAUAUCAGCCCAUUUCCGAAGCUCAAUGUGCAAUACUCCAUCCCCAAUCUUCUUCCAACUAGACCAUUCAUCAUCGUCUGUAUAAAGGAUCACAUCCCUGGGGAAUGAUGCUUUAUCGAGAAAAUGCAAGGAUGAUUUGGUAGCAACUGCCCUAACUUCUGCCCACUCCAGAAAACUACGGCAUAAAAUCUCAAAUUUAAUAGCAGCAACACUUCCAGACACAGCCAAGAGGAUCCUUGGUUUAACAGGCUGAAUAUUGUCAUGCUUCAUAUUUUCUGAUGCUAUUUCGAUAUUAGCCAUCAUGCAUUCAACGCACUAGGAAAAAUUUCCUUCCACUGCAUAAAAAAUGAUGGUCAUCUUUUACAGAUUUCCACCAGGCAUUAUCAAAGGGCAAGGAAAUCCUAAGCAAGCAUCAUCUUUAAAAGAAAUCCAUAUAUAAAGUGAACCUUUUGUACUAGUACAGCUUCCCAAGAACAUGGUCAAAACAACUCCAACCAUGAGAAGACCAUCGCAUCCAAGCAGAAUGAUUCAAUAAACUGGAAGCUGGAAACAUUAACAUAACGUUAGUCCUUUGUACAGAAAAGCGAUUAUCAAAGAAGACAUAAAUUGCACGAAACUGACCGACCAACUAUAGCUAUGAGAAAUUAUUGAUGUUCGGGUAGGCUGAUACAAAUGCUUAUCUUUAAAAUGUGCUUUAGUUUGCUUGAAACAAUCGGUUUCAAUCUCUUAUCCAUGAGUGUGGAGAAACAGCUUAAGAUGAAGCUAUAAAUUAUAUAUUUACAUACUUAUAUGAAUGAGCAUGAAAGUCCAAUAACAACACCAACAACAAGGCUGUAAUGUCUCAACAUUUAGGGUUCUACCUAGAUCCUUUUGCCACCAUUGAGCUAUAUAAAAAAGCCAUAUCCUUAAUUAAAAUUUAAAUUUUUACUUAAUAGUUUUUAGUAAAAUGUUGUUAGGCCUGCCUCUAUCUCUCUUCUUACCAAUCAUUUCACCUCUUCUAACAACAAUAUCUAUGAGUCUUCUUAGGGCAUCUUAAACAAAUUUUCCAUGGAUUACACGUUUUUUAUGACGAAUAAGCACAAACAUAAUAAUUUAAUCUUUAAUAUUUUUAUCCUCACAAAACUAAAGAACACAAAAUUUUCAGCAACCCUAGUUUCAGAACUUCCAUCAAUCUAGUUUUGGAUCGUCCAUCCCUCUCCCCGGUGUGGUUUCUUCAUAGGCCAAUUCGCGAUCAGUGAUCCGUUACUCAGUAUUUUCCGGUUGCCGCCCAAUGUCUAAGCCCCCUUUACCGUCGCGGGCGAUUUCCAGCAACCGGAUUGGGAGAUGAAGAAGCAAUGGGAGGAGAGGUGAAGAGACAGAGAGGGGACAAGUACGAAUUAAAUAUUACGACAGCGCGCCGAAGAUCAAAAGCUAACCUCUCGCCGGUGUGCUCGCCGAAUACCACCGCUGCUUCGACGCUCACCGCAGACGAUAAGAAGGGAUCGUGAGAGAGAGAGCUUAUAUAAUGGACAGACAUGAGGGUAAUUUAGUCAUUUUACAUGUAGACGGAAAUUAAACGGCGACGAAACAGCACCAUCUCGUCCCCAAAUUCCUCCGCUAUUCACCCUCAGCCUUUGGCCACCGCCGCCGCCCCCCUCGAUCGCUUCAUCCCCGGCGGUAACCCACUCGCCACCGUGCCGCCCCCCACGUCUCCGCGGUCCAGUCCUGCUUCCAUUCUUCUACUUCGCCAAAUUGAGUGAUGGGUUUAAUCAUAUGUUAUGAUUGCAAUCCAUAGCCAGCUCAAGUCAGAUUCAAUUCAAAGAUCGAUUCGGCUCGGUUCGAGUCUGACUCACCGACGGGUCGAGUCGUGGAAUAGGAAAAGCCUUAUGGGUAAUUACGGACCGAUCAAGCCCACAUAAGCAACUAUAUUACCCGACCCAACCUGAUCGAUAACAGCAGCAGAACACCAUGGCGUCGUUUGGGUUGGGAAAGAUGAGCGACUUCCUUCUGCCGACGCUGUCGCGGAAGCGCGACGUGGACUGCAUCAUCCGCGACACCCUCGACAAGGUCCUCGUCCUCCGCUUCGGCCGCGCCGCCGACCCUCUGUGCCUCCACUUCGACGAAAUCGUACGCUGCGCCCCUCUCCUCCCAUAUCUUGUACUUCGUCUUCUCGGUGCUUGGCGAAGCCUCUGAUCUCGUGUGGCCUUCUGGCGCGCAGCUCUCCAAGACGUCUCGUGAGGUCUCUAAGUUCGCGACGAUCGCGCUGGUGGACGUCGACUCCGAGGAGAUUCAGGUCUACGUCAAGUACUUCGAUAUCACCUUGGUACCCUCCACCGUCUUCUUCUUCAAUGCUCAUCAUAUGAAGAUGGACUCCGGGUAAUUCAAUUACAUCCCUAGAUGAACAUCUUGUUUCUGUCAUCAACUCUCUUUAUGUCUUGCCCGGUUCUGCGUUUCGUAGGAAAUUUUAACCUUCCGCUUAGGUAAUUUCUUUUUGCCCUAAAUAUUUGAUUUGAUAUGUAGGUUUCUGCAAGUACGAAGGCUGUAAUUUAUUAGGGCAUGCACAAGAUGUCACCCUUUCUACGAUAUCUUAUUUAUUUUGCCCUAAAUUUUAGUGGUAAAUUUUCCUUGACAUGAAUACUUGUCACAAGGAUGUUUAGAAUUAUUAGGUGUAGUCGAUAUGUCUUAUAAAUUAGUGGCCUGUAGAUAAAAGUCCGCUAAUUUGACAUUUGACAUGUUAUUACGAUGAUUGUAGAGAAUAGCAAAUGCAAUAGUAGCAUCAUCUCCUCUGUUUCACAUCGUAGCCUGAUUGGAUAUCCUAAAAUUUCAUCCGAAGCUGAACCUUAUUAAUUAUCUAGGUAUCUGAACUGAAACCAUAUACGGGUUACCUACAUUUAUACCGAACUCAUCCCAAACCCUAUCGAAGGAAACCCUAUCUAAGGGUACCAGAACCUUGUUUUGCUCGGUUGGGUAUAUUUGGAUGCUCAAAAGAACCCAACCUACUAAGCUGAACCUAGAAGUAACAUUAGGUUAGGCUACUUGCUAAUCCAACCAGUCUGUCUACCUAUGUACCUGAACCCGACUGGAGCACAUUCAUCCUCACCUGAACCUGUUUCCUAGCUGAUUAAAGGGUAAACAAGUUCAUUAUAAGCGGAUCAAGUAGACCAAGGUGCAAAAAAAAUAAUAAUAAUAAAUAAAUACCUCUGCCAUCCCAAAUUAUGGCUCCCCUCUCUUCUCCUUUCCCGCUUUUUUACUCUCCCCUCUUCUUUUUUGUCUUUUGAGGCUGUCAGAUUGGCUGGAAUUGGUCAAAACUGGCCAACUCUGGUAGUGAUUUGUAGAUUCUAGUCAAAAUCCACUGACUUAUUACUAUAAACUGGGAAGUCAACAAAAAUUGGAGUGGCCUUUGACGAUAAUGAUAUGGAUUCUAUUCCUUUUUAUAGUGAUUUAGUUCUAUUCUUUAAUGACUAUUUUCACCUUAAAUGUAACUUGAUUAGUGAAUUUUUCGGCCAUGUGUCUCUUGGUAAACUGUAUUUUUUAUUGUAUUCAGGACUGCUGAUCAUACUAAGUGGGUUGGAUCUUUUCAUAGCAAACAAGACUUAAUCGAUGUUGUUGAGGUGAGUGCCAUGCUCCUCACUUGGAAGGUCCUUUUUCUGAAUUAAAUAUAUUAUAUUCAGUUUCAUCUACUGAAUUCAUUAAGCUUAAGAUGAUGCUACAUGAUAGGUUAGUCUUAAUAUCAGUAGAACAAAAGCUAGAAGAUUUUUUUUUUUCAUUUCAUAAUUUGAGAAUACAGUUACGUAGUUUGAUUUUGGACGUCCGAGAUACUUAUUCUUUCUUGGAUUGUAUGGGAAAAAAAAAAUGGAACUGAAUGACUUCUGUAGCAAAGUUUGUAGAACUUAGAUAAUUUUUUGUGUCUGUAAGAAAUGAAGAUGUCCUUUUUGAUGAAUAAGUAGGAAUUAUCCCUUGUCACUGAGACUUUAUCAUCAGAUCUUCCUAAUCUAGUUAGCUGGCUUCCAAAUGCAAUUAUCUUCAUCCAUGAUUACCAGUAUAGUUGGUCUGUUAUAUUGGUUUUUCUCUUCUGGUAAUAUUUUUCGCAAGAGAUUAAACCUGUCAUCAAGGCUCAUAUGAUCAAGAAUGGGAUUGGGAUUAGCUAACUGCAUUAUGAUUGAGAUUCAUUACAUCUGAUCAGUUGGAGCAGGAUAAAUUGAGAGAAUAAUUUAAACAUGAAAAGUGUAGAAAUUAUAAAAAUAACAAAGUCUGGAAAACAAAAUAUAAAAAAAUGAUAGUUUUUCGAAAGAGUAAAACAAUAUGUUUUAUGUAAAGCCACAGUUGUCAGUUUCUAAUUUCUUUGACUUGGCCAUAUCUUCUUAAUUUAAUAUGAAUAGCUGCACAUUGUAUUCCUGAACUUCUUAUGUAUGAAAAUGUGAAAAUAUCUGUCUAUGUACCAGCUUAUGCAAUCUGGGGGUGAUUCCAUGGGAUGGGCUGCAUAUCAUACAUAGAUGAUUGAACCUUAGAAGUUUACCUUAUGGAUAUGCAUAUGAUACCUUAGAAAUGAUGGGGGAUAAUAUAUCUGAACUGGAUGUCUUCAUUUUAGAAUAAGACUGCUAUCUGCUGAUGUCGCCACCCUCAUCUACCAACACAGUUGACUGUUACCUGAGUACGGAGGAUGACCUUUAGAAUUGCUCUAGGCAUAACCUUUUUUUACAUGAUAUAUAAUUCACCAUCUAACUCAUACAUUAACAUUCUGACUAUCUUUCAAAACACAACAACAGAAAGUUCUAAUAUUUUGAUCAACAUAAACCAACUACUAAGUGCUCAAGAAUUUAGUGGCGAUGUGUAUCUCAUCGUUCAACCAACAUUUCUGGACAGUGGAGGGACCAUCUGUUUUUGGGGUAUAUUCUGUAUAUUUAACUCCCAACUGAUUUGAUGAAAUCGUAUUUGAACUUGCUUUUGGUCUGGUUGAAAAUUUGCAGAACUUUGUAGAACUUUGUGUUUUUUUUUUCAAAGAAAGGCAAAUUAGAGAAACUUAGAAAACAAACUUAUAAAAUAUCCGGAGUUUCUCUAGUCCAAAAAAAUAGCAGAUACAUUCUGUCUAGCAUAAUUAGCAAGAUUGUGAGCCUUGUUAAGGUCUCUUGGGAUGUAACUCCAGUUGGAAACCUUCACUGUCUUAGCUAGAUGGAGGAUGUCUUUGCAUAGAAACCUUCACUGAUCUCACCCAGAUUUGAGUAAAUCCAAGUUGUAGUGCACAUUGAAGCCCCACUUAACUGCCAAUCAUUCUGCUUGGAAAGCAUCAGAAAGUCAUCUAUGGUUGCACCUCCUGCAACAAUAAUACCCUCAAGUCACUAAAAACAAAAUGUGUGUGUAGAACUUUGUUAUUUGAAUAGUUUCUGCCGAUUUCUAUAGCCAAAGUCUAGCUCUAGUUAAGAAUAUUAUUCAAUAUUCAGUAGCAUGCUGUAACAUCCGACUAAAAAGGACCCAAGCUUCCAUCUACCUUAAAUUUCUUCCCUUUUCAUGUUUCCUUUUUCUUUCUUUGUUCACUUUUACAAGUUCUCGAGGCUGUUUGCUUUACCUUUCGGCAUGCUGUUCUCAUCUGGUAAGUUUAUCCUCUUCAAAAGUUUCUUUUCCCUACCCGAAAAAGAAAUAUCUCUCUCCAAGUAGCCAUCCUACCCAGAAUGAAACUUGCAGUUAGAAAUUUUACUUGUUGAGUCAUCAAUAGUUCCUUCUUCUCACUAAUGUUUGUUAUCUAGCAGCAGUCUAUAAUGUAAUAUUAUUAUGAUGCCUCUUUAUAAUAAAUAGAUUCUCCCAAAAGAAGCCAUAUAACCUUUAUAUUUUGUUGCCUCUCGUAGGCUAUAUUUAGAGGGGCGAUGAAAGGCAAGCUGAUCGUUAGCUGUCCACUUCCACCAGAGAGGAUACCCAGAUUUCAGCUGCUCUUCAAGGACGUGUAGGGAUGAGCUGGAAGGUGGACGUGAUAGUGUGUCGAAGGGGAUGACAUAAUGACUCUUGGUAUUCAUCCUCUUAACGGUUCUUUUAGUAGCUUCUAAUCAAGUGUCAAAUGCACAUGAAUCAUUGUGUCAAAUGACAUGUUCAAGCAUUCUAAAAUCCCUUGGAUCGAUCAUUUUCCUGUAAGCUGUGUACAUAUAUUAUUUUGCUUCAUUGCAUACAAAUACGAGCAUUAUUUGCUUCAUUCAGUGUUAGAUACAAAUUUGGAAAAACAUUACUUGAAAUACAAAUUUGCUUUGUUAUGGAAAUAUAGUUAUUUGCUAUCUCCAUGCACCAAUUUUACUCUAUGGAUUCUUAAUCUAAUGAUUUAAGCUUGUUCGACUUAGUGGAGUCUGAUCUCCCCCCAUCUCAUCUUCUAACCUUCUCACUGUCCUUCAUUCCUUACAGAUGAAACCAGUAAACAAUUUUUUCUCCCACUCCUCAUCACAUGCAUGUAAUACGAUUAAAGCAAGCCAUCUAAGUUUUCUUCCUCUCUUCUUUUUUUUUUGGUCUGGGUAACAAGUAAUACGAUUAAAGCAAUGAUAAUAACCAAAUGCAGAUAGAAGCAUGCUACAGUAUCCAGGACUCAAUUAUCAAAAGAAAACGUGAUUUGUCAUCAAGAAGAACUUGCAAGUUGCAAGACACUGUCAAGUCCCUUGACUUCAACCAACACAAGCACAAUCUAAUUCAAACGCCAUGUGAGGAACUCGGAAGACAACCAAUUUUGUCUUUGGCUUACCCUUGGCCAAUGAGAACACUGCUUUUAAUCAAAAGCCUCUUGAAUAGAGCGUUGAAACAACAGUUUUCUUCCACCCAAGCCUCCAAAUUAGACUGCAUAAAGAGCGCAGUCCGAACAAACGCAUUUCUUGAGGCCAACUGUGGUGGAUGAUGCUGCAAGUAAUAAGCCCACUAGCUUUCAUUUCCAGUCUGGUCUUCACACGCACCUGCAUUAAAAGGCAUCAAUAGAAGCUUGGAAUACAACCAUUCUUCCCCAGAAGGGCGAGAAAUACUGGCCAACUACACCAGUAAAGGUUGUCCAUGAAAAGCAUCUUAAAUGAAGGCACUAGUCAUAAGAAAAAACCAGAUGUAUUAAGCAUUUUUAUGUGAAAACAACUGCUAAAAUUUACGAUACUAAAUAAUUAAAACACUAAAUAACAUUUGUGAGCAGCUUCCUCUGAAUCUACUUAUGAGAUGGAACAGAAUAGUAAGCGGUAGCUGUUAGUCAACGACAGACAUAUUAAGAAUUGAAAGUUCUCGCUAUGCAAAUCCAAAAAUAGUUUCUAAUAUUUUGCAUGAUAACCCAUUAAAAGUGACCACCGGGAAGCCGUGGGAAGCAACUUACUUGAUUGCUUCGUGACAAACACAAUCACUGCUAGAUCAUGAAUCCAUGAAUCUUCAUGAGAUGUCAAAGAACAGAAGCAAUAAACGCAUCAAACAUCAUGAGGAAGCAAAUGAAACCAUGAAACUCACAUUCCAUACAAUUAUGUUAAUUUCCUGAAAUGUAAUAGAUGAUGUGGAUGCACUAAAAUGAGAGAUAAGCAUCAAAAGUUGCAAGGAUAUUCUUGUUUGAAAAAUGAGAAUAAGAAGCCUGCAUUUUCUUGAAAAAAGUAAUCGGUGAUCCCUUAAAAUGCUAUAGUUCUCAUCACCUGGAGCAAUUAAAUCUCUUGAGAGAAUCUACAUGAACUCUUCUGAUAAUAACAAUGCUAUUAAGCUUCUGCUCCAAACAUCUAGUACGUAAGUUACGGAUAAUCUAAAGCUAUAUUUAGAUAAAACCUACACAAGUAGGUUGGAUAAUUACACUGUAUAUAGGAAAAUAUUAACAGAAUUAGCUUUGAAGAUUUUGUUUCAUGCAUGACUUAAUAAGCUCCCAACAACACAACUAUGAAGUUAUCCACCAACUAUGAAAUAUGCAAUCAAAUAGAUAGAAAAUUAGUUCAGAAAGGUUUUACUCUUAGGCAUCCAAUUUACAAUGUAUGAGAUUAAUAAGCUACACAAAACCUAAAGUCAUCCAUCAAAAAUUCUAUUUUCUUCCACAGAAUAAAUGGUUCAAAUCCUGAUAAAUGGUGGUUCAGCAUAAAUGAAAGCUAAUAUGAGUGGAGACCAUUUAAAAGGUAAACAUAUAUGGCAGUAAUACAAAAUUCAAUCUGAGAACGGUGUUGUUUUAUUUUUUUUCCAAGUACCAAGAUCAAACAGAACUACUACAUCUGAAAAUAAUCUUUUGGGUGAACAGAUUAAGCCUGUAUUCAAAUGGUUUAACUACUGCGAUCAGUAUGUCACAACACUACAAAACAGAUCAAGAAUGGGUUCAAUUGAAGAUGUAAAAGGACAACAAUUGGAAAGGCGAAAGCUUUAUACCCUAGAUCUUGAUGAUCUUGGCAGCUUUGACCACAGGAUUAGCCUUAGCAAUCUCCUCCCUCCCCAACGCCUUGUAAUCGAAUGAGCAAUCAUGAGUGUCGGAAUACCGGUGGCGACCGCAGAAGAGAUCCCCGCAUCGGCACCGGAAUCCGGUCAGCCCCACCUUUCUCCCGCAAGUGGAGCACCCGUUGAUGAAUUUUACCUGCGGUUUGGAUUCCUCCUCAGGCUUCGACUCCUUGUCGGUCUUGGGCGUGGUAGAUGCCGCGACGGCGGUCUCCGUAGCCGUAGUCUCCGCUCUCGGGUUCGGUGAUUGCUCGCAAGGUUUCAAGAACAGAGACGGGGGUAACGGGGACGAUGAUGGAGGAGCGGGAGUCGACGGGGAAGGGGAGGAAGGUUUGAGGAUUUCGGCUUCGUCUUUGUCAAGAUUACAACUUUCUCGAGCCAUUUGAUGCACUGGAACAGAUGCGAACACAAGCAGAUCGAGGAUAUUGGAGCCGAACAGGAUUAAGAACUAAGAAUAAGUUUCAAGGAUCGAUAAAAGAGGGAUAUCUGAAGUCUCCAAUCGACGUGAUGGGUGAAAAAAAGAGGUUUUCAGGACGGAUUCAUAAGAAAUCAAAUAAAAUUCGAUCUCAACCCUCAAAAAGGGACGAAUUUUCCAACAAAAAAAGCGCAAAAAAUCAGUAGUCAGGAGGGACUAAAUCUGCAGCGGAUCGAUCAGGAUGUAAGCUUCGUUGAACGCGAAAUCGAAUCGGAGACAGGAUGAGGCUGUCAGAGAUUUUUCCCCAUGCUUCCUAGGAAUCAAGUUCGAAGGGCAGCAACAACCGAGAAGAUGAUCAGAAAGAGGGGAACCCUGAUCGAUCCGAUCGAGGAAGUGGCGAAACAAUCGGUGGAAACAGGGGAAGAUGAAGGAAAAGUAAAGGUGGGAACUUCGGAGGCGGUGGAGGAAAAGGACGAAUAAAUGGGAAUACAUCCGUCGCAAUACAAAUGAUAAGGCGAUUAAAAUAAAGCAAAAUGGUCGAAAUAAUCUUCGUGUCCAAGCGAAAUUCCACGCUGUAAUAUUCUUUUCUUUUCCGCAACACAUUUCAGUCAACUUAAAUUAGAUUAAAAAUAUUUAUUAAUUAAUUUUUGAAAAAGACUUUCCCAAUAUCCCGAUUCAACUCAGAACGGAUCGAGUCUCAGCGACCGCCUGAUUCAACUCAGAUCGGGUCGAGUCUGAGUCGAGCUGAUUUGUCCUCUGGUCCGAUUGAACCACAUGGCUCAACCUUCAACCCAAACCACCACCCCAACCCAACCCCACGCGCACCCGUGCUCUAAACGCAGCCUCUCUUUCUCCCCAUCGACUGCGGCAGUGCGGCUUAGCCUCGGUGCACGGUGACUGAUUUCGUCUCCAUCGGCGAACGGCGGCAGCUUCUUCCCCUCCCGUUAUCUCUCCCUCUCCUUCUCGUCCUCCUCCUUCGCCGUCGCACACUCCCUUCUCCGCCCUCCUUCCUCUUCCCCUCCGUCGUCACAGCUCCGUCUCGACCGGAAUCCGGUCAGCCCAGCGCCUUUGACGACACUGGGCAGGAGGGGAAUCCUUCCAUUUCUCCGUGCCGUAACAUUCGUGCUUGAUGCUUAUCCCUUGAUCAACAGUAGAAGACUCGAGAAUCUGUCAUCGUCGGGCCUUCGAGGAUUAAAAGAAAAUCCCAUCGAUCGCAAAGACGAAGCGCGAGGACUGUUUUGGCCAUGGAAGAGGGAGCGAAGGGCGGUAGCGAAAGCUCAGGGCUCGAAACCCUAGUCCUUGAGAAGGUUGGGGAGGUCUCAUCCGCGAUCGAUGCCGCGAAGCACGUCGACGAAGUGAUCUGCGCCCUCUACUCCCUUGCUGUCCGCAUAUUUCCCGUCGACUACUCUGCCCUUUGCGGUUCGAUUUCGGAUCCUUCACGUCUCUUUCUCUUGGAAUGGGUCUUUUUGUCGUACUUUUUCUGUCGUAGUGUCACUUAUUUGUUGAAUGAUAGAUGGAUUUGCACUGAAAAGGAAAAAAAAACUUAGGAGCUUAUGAUUGGGGGAGGCAUCUGAAUUUUUUGACGUGUCUGAAAAUUUAUUUAUUUUCUUAAAACAAAACGGCUCAUUGCAAUAUUUGGUUACUUUGCAGAUACCAUCGAUCCUGCUCAGAGAAGCAAGGUACUACUCUGGUCCACAAUGCUACUUGGUUUGAUAUCUCACACAGAGGAGGUUCUUAACGUUUUGUGUUAUCUAUUUAUGCAACUACAAUAGUGUCCACAAGAAAAUUCUGAACUUGAUGUGAAAAAUAAAUAAUGUAAAGAUGGUUGUAAUUCUAAUUAAAGGUGAGAUAAUGCCUGGAAUCGAAAACAUAGAUGCAGAGAAGAAGAAUUCAUUGAUAAGAAAAAGGUGCUAGGGUGAACAUCCAGCUAAAGAUUGAAAACUAAAAGAGUGGCUCAGUGCCCAAGGCCUUGUGCACUGGUGUACACCUGUGGAUUUUCAAUUUAAGGGGUGUUUCUUCUCAGGGACUUUCGAGUUAAAUUUUAUUUUGAACAAGAACUUAUGCUAUAUACAAUCCCUGACAUUCAAUUCCAACAAUUAUCUAUAUUUAGUUUAGUAGCAGUUGUAUAAGGUCCCCUAAAAUCAUGUUUGUUUGCUAUGCACUUAUAUACUUACAAACAUGUAGUUGUCAUCAUUUAUGAAUAAAUUCUCUCUUCCUGGAACUUGCGAUGGCUGGAAUGAAUGAUCCAUUUUGCAUAUCUUGAAACCUGUUCAAAGAUCCUGUACACCCCGUUGUAGUAAACUAGCAUGUCCUCAACAUAGAGUUGAACUCAGAUUAUGAAUCUUCUUUUACUUGCAUUCAAUUUAGUAAAGUUGCUUACUUGCAUGAAUAUGUAGUUUGGGACACUCUUCAUGGCUUAAUUUUUGGGUGUAUUGCUUUAGAUAUCACUACAUCCUUUGAAUGUUAGAAGUGUUCUUUGCCUGAUUAUUGGUUGAAGCAUUAACCAUCCUUUGUUUUCUUACUUUUACACAAAUCUUUUGAUUACAGAUGAUUCUUUUUUUGUCUAUCAUCCAUAUUUAUUAUUUUGAAAGGAUUAUAUGAAUAAACAUACUAUGCAUGCUUUAAUCUCCAAUAUUAGACUGAGCUCACGAUUUUGAGAUUUGAUCCACUUCGAGUGUCCAUUUUUUUUGUUUUAUGUGUGGGGGUUCAGUGAUGGGUGUCACAUGGUGCUUACAGUCCACAAAUAACCCUUACCAUAAUAGUAACUUGUGGCUGACUAGAUCCAUGCCUUACCAUGUUAGCAUGAGGCAUUCUGGAAGAAGCUGCACUGUCCUUACUAAGCGUGGAGAACUGUAUCUAGUAUUUCAGCUGCUACAAAAUUUUGAAAAUCCUGAAGUUAAGUGUUAUGUUUUUGCUUCCAGUUGAGAGAAUCAGCCUAAUCUAGUUGACUUUGAUUGACAUCAAACCCUUCCUGCUAAUAAUAUGGUCAAGAAAUCGGUCAAAAUUGGAUCAACCUUGGAUGCUAUUGAUACAUAUCAGAUGUGUUGUAUCAAAAUUACCACAAACCGAGGUCUUCUUAUUUUGUUUACCACUGUUUUUCAGGUACAUGAGAUACUAUCUCCUGCCCCUGCUGAAAGCGGUGAAUGGAGGCAGGCUUUCUACUAUGGACCUGCGUUUCCAACCUUGGCUAGGAUAUUGAUCUAUAGUAAGUUUCAUUCUUUAGUUGAAACAUCUUUAUUGUGAUAAGAUAUGCUGGAUCUAAUAGAGUUUUCUCUAAGUUGACACAUAUUUCUAUAUGUAAAUAUAUGAAUUAUAUGUCAAUUUUUUCCUAUGAUACCAUAUGACUAAUGCUAUCUUCAAAUUUUCAAAUCCCAUGGUUGUCCGUAUAUACUGAUUUUUAUGGUUCUAACAUGUGUAUGUACUGAUUUAUCACUAAUCUUGUGUUCAACUUUUUCCUCUCUUUUUUUCAUUCCUUUAUCUACGAAGAAAGCAGGAAAAAAUAAACUUCUUCCGCCCCUUUUUUCCUUCAUUCUCUCCUCCUCAUUUGUUCUCAGGCUUGGCUGCACCCUUCCAGAUUGCCUCCCCUUCUCUCAUCAUUCUCAUUCCAUUCUCGGAUGGGGCUAGUUGGGUCUGGGAAUCAGCAACUUUGCUUCCUCAUCCCUUCCUCUUGCAUCCUUUUUCUCUCUUUUCAUUUUCCUUUCUAGUUUAUUAUCUGACAAUUGGAACUGUCUGAAUUGGUCAAGAUGUCCAAUUCUGUUAGAGAUCUGUUGAUGUUGAUCAAUUCUGGCUUUUGGCAUUGAAGUGGGCAAAACGAUCUAAAUCAGGUUGGCUGAUUUGGUGAGCCAUGCUUGUCUGCUAAACUGAAAAUUAAGGUGUAUAUGUGCAAACAUGAACCUUUAGAAUGAUGCAUCCAAAUACUUUUUUAAUAACUAGCAUUUGAUUUGUGAAUGUGAUAUAUUCUUUAGUAAUUAUAAUUCAUAUCUCCAUUCGGAAAAAUAGACUGCAACAAUUUUAUUGUAAGAACUUGUUCUUCAUUGAAAAGCCUGUGCGAGUGCAUGCUAUUAAAAAUGCAGAAUUAAUUUGAGCUGAUGGUAACAUUCUUUGUAAAGAAAGUAGCUUUAGAUGACUGGCACACGUUUUAGUAAAAGGUUUUCUAAGUGCUUGAUAAUUGUCAUAUCUAAUGUGCAGAUGUUGCAAAAGACUGGCUUGCAUGCUUUUCUUCAUCUACGAAGAAGCAGGUUUAUGAUUCAUUUUUCGUUCAAGGACCUCCAACUGAAAUAGUACAGGUCCUUGUUCCUGCUUUGGUGCACGGUUAUGAUGAUGCUAUCUACUCGAAUAUUGAGAGGUACUUACUGUACCAUCUGAUUGAUGCCACAAUUAAGUUGAUUUUGGUACUUUGGAGCAGUAUGAAAGUUAUUUUACAGCAGAGUUAAUUAAGAUUGUGCCUCAUUUAGCAACAAUGGUGACUGCAAUAAUAAAUCAUGUUAGUGCGUCACAACAAAUGUACUUCCUAGAUCAUAUUACUCGUCAAACCUCUUUUAACAUACCAUGAUUUUGGCCUUAUUUGACCAAAUCAUUUGAGGAAUCCUUAGCUAUUACUUAUAUUUGGUGGUAGUAUGAGAAUCCAGAUGUCAUGAAAAAUCAUUAGAAACUUUAGUUUUUAUUGGUACAUGAUAAGAUGUGUAUGUGAUCAACCAUAUAUAAUGCUCUUGUUUAUCUAGAUCUUGAUAUGCUGAUUAUACUGAUUUAAUACUGAGCAUAGUUAUCGGGAUCAGAUCGAACCAAGUGGUGGUGCUGGAAAAACCGGGAACCGGACCAUUAACCAAUCCAAUUCAAUUAUUGGAAUGGAUAUGUUCAAAAACGGGAAUGAACCGAUUAACCCGGUUGGAUUUUGGAUAACCAAUAUAAAACCGACUGACCGAGUACAUAAAACCGAUCCAAAUUACUUAAAUACCCUUAAACUUUUUUAUUAUUUAUUCGAGAGGGUAUUUGAAAUUAGGGUUAACCUUAUUUAAAUAUGACAGAUGAUACUCUCAAUCUUGAUGAGAUUUUAAUGAUAUCAAAAAGAAGAUAAGGGAGAUGAAAUUAGAGCACGCUAUAUAAGAAGAAUUUGAUUUGAGGACAAAUAAAAAUGAGGAGAACGAAAAAAAUAUUGGAACAGAUAAAAAUGAGUUCGAAAAUUUAGAUUAUAAUACAAAAAUUUACUACAUGGGUUAGAAUUAUCAUGGCAUAUUGAUGACUAAAAAGUUUCCAUCUAAUCAUGAAUUCAUGAUAAUUAUGUUGGAUAAACUAUUUCUUAUAUAUCAUUGAACAAUUGAUUUUAGAUUGGAUUAAUGUAAUCACGACCAAGAUUUUUUCAUGUGUUAUUUGAUCUGGAUAAUGUUUAUAACUUUAUAUACACAAUGUUGCUUGAUAUUAUCAUUCCACAUCUUCUAUCUAUUUUUUAAUUAGUUUUAAUAUUUUAGAUUUUUACUAUAUAUAAUUUUAAAUUGUUUAAUAUAUUUUAAAAUAUUUUUAAUUUAAACAUGUGGUUCGACCAAUUGAUCCACCGGUUCAACCAAUGACCCAGAGAACCAAGUCCUUGAGAUUCAUAGAUCAUUUGCUUCGAUAUUGGUUUAUGUUUUCACCUCAUUACUAAUCGUUCUUCUGUUGUAUUAUUCUAUUUUUCUAAAACAAGGACUAUGAUAAUAUAAUUUUAGUUAAAUACACCUUUUUGUAUUACUUAUACUUAUCACUUGCAUAAUUUCUUUAUGAGUAACAAACUAUCAAUAUUAUCAGAUAAGUUGAUAAUUUAAUCAUAGCAUAAUUUAGCUUCUUCUUCUUUUUUUAAAUCUAUCCAUUGUUUUCGCUGCAGAUGCACUAGGUGAUACUUAGACCACUUGCAUAUCAUGGUUGUUUUUGGAAGAUUUGAAUAUAACCAUUAACAGUCAACCACCGUUUGAUGAUCAGCACGUUCUAUCAUGGUUCAAAAAUUUGAUCAGUCAAUGUUUGUUAGUUGAUGUGUUUUGAUGAUCAACUUUUGCUAUUCAUCUAUUGUUUGACUUUCAAUUAUCAAAUUGUCAUUGGUGAUUGAUGAUUGCCAUUCAACAGGAUAGACUGUCCAAUGACUAUCACUUACUGAUUGGUCAUCUGCUGGCAAUCAACAAUCAUCUAUUGACAGCUUGUUGAUACUUGGUGAUCAUUAACUGAUGGUUGUUGGUAUGCUGAAGAUUAUUGACUGAAUAUAUAGUAUGUUUUUGGUCAUUUAUCAUCAUGGUCUAUUGGAUAAUUGAUGAUUAGUGAUCAUCAAUCUGACUGCUGGUUUGACUGUUAUUGGAAAUGUCUGUCAAUUUGUUAAAGAACAAAAGAUUACCGACUUGGUCUAUGCGAGCAACGGCUGUCAUAAUGAUUUCCUUCAUCACUUACACACUUUCGGAAUUUUAAGCUGUCACUUACGUGGCAAAUGUACAGGAUCAUAUAGCCAUGGCCAAUCCCUUGUCUCACCACUCCAUCUAUCCAUCUCUCAUUAUAAUUUGAUAUGAUUUCUAGUGACUAUAUCAAUAUUGGAUCUUUACUGACUGUAAAUGAUGUGUACUAACUUGUUAGUUAAAUAUAACCCAAUAUCCAGACUAACCUAACAGAUUUUGUUCUUGUGGUGUUCAUUAUAUUUCUUAUCAUUUCCUUUCUAUGUGUAAAGCAGGCAGCAUUUAUCUUUUCCUCUACUAUGUAUAUUACAGGUUACUGGUACGAUGCUUGCUUAAGAGCGAAGGGAUACGGCAUAUUGUCGGUGAAUUUAGAAUCCAAUGUAGCAGUAGCAAACAUGAUUAUGCACUUAAGCCAGAGAUGUUAGCAGUCAUGUCUAGGGUUGCACAGCUUCUCACUUCUGUUCCUGACAAAGCAAGAUUGCAAGCCUCAUCGGCACUUUCAUCGCAGUAUCCUUCUGAGAUAUUGUCUUGGUUCUAUAGAUGUAAUUUUAACGAUUCAAAGCUCAAUUUGGAUUCUGUUUGAUGAUUCUGGAGCUUCAUGUCAUGUAUCAUGAUUCCUUUUCAUGUUGAUACCAGGAGUGCGCUCAUUGUUGGUUCUUAAAAUUUUCACAUUAAGAUCAUAUGCUCAUUUAAUUUGCCCUUUUUUCUUUUUAUAAUGUUUUAUCAACAUCAUCUCCUCUCAGUAAAAUCAGUCAUAGAAAUCUCUUAUAUUUCCUAAUGUAGAUUACAUUUCAAGGAUACCUUUCAUUAUCAGCUAUUUUCUGUUUUUAUCCUUGAUUAGCUACUAGCUUGUUCUUCCAGCAAAUGGCUAGACAACUUCUGUGUGGAGCAGAAGAUUGUAACUUUGAAAUGUUGAACCCAAGAGAUGCCUCCGAUGCAAAUACUGUGGAUGGCUCAUUGUUAUUUAUCGGUGAAACAUUUUCAAGGAUUUGCAGGCGUGGCUCAACAGGUGAUAAAAAAAUAGUUUAAUGCUAAGUCUGGUCCUGCAAAUUAUUAUUGUUCCAGCAAAGCAACUUAUUGAAGUUAACUUACCUGACAGUAGAUAGGUUAAUUAUAGGCCAAGCAGAUGCUAAAAUUUUACUUUUAACAUUUAAUAUGAGCAAUUGAUAUAAAUUGAUCACAAAAACUUUACUUUUAACAGUUAGGUGUACCAUUGAUAGAAGAUAAAAUGAGGAAAAACCAUUAGAAGGAUAUAUGCAUGUUCAAUGGAGACCUAUAAAUUCCCUGGUGAGGUAAGAUGAAUUGAUCAAUAUUAGUGAUGAGGAAAAGUAGAGGACACAUAGGAAAAUUUUAUAUGAGCAGGAAAAGGAAACUUGACUGCUUUAUGUAACUAGGGAUAUUCACCUACCCAGAGCUUAAUGGGAAGAAAAAAUUCAUGCAAGCAAUCCCAAAUAAUUUGGAUCUGUGGCUUGUUGUUGUACCUUCUAGUAUACAAUUGUAAGAGAUCUUUAAUAAAAGAAUGAAAUGUAGUUAACCAUUAUGUUUUUCUUUGAAACUUUUUCAUUUUUACAUAUUGCUCCAUGAAUAUCAUUGGGCUGUUCCAUGUUGUGUUUCACAAUUAGAACAGUCUUCAUAUGUUACUGGGCUAUCAUCUUAAUUGUUGAUUUACAAGUUGGAUGGACCACUAAAUGUAAUGUAUGCCACGCAAUAUUGUCAGAUUUGGGAAUUUUAAGAUCUUGCUAGUGUCCUAUUUCUAUAUUGUUUUAGUCAUUAAGUUACUAUUUUUCAGAUAUUCUACUCAUAAAGGUGAUCCCUAGGAUUCUUGAUCACAUCCGAAGCUGCUUGUCAUCGAAUGCUGGUUCUGUUGCUUUUAAUAUGAUUGAAUCUAGUCCAAAAUCCCAUUUUUGGUUGUUCAUUAUGGAGGCAAUGAAAGAUCAAUAUGCCAUUGAAAGAUUUUCUGAGGAGCUACUACGGCAAUUAGCAACUCAGAAUGUAAGUGAUGUUGAAGCUUAUUGGACGCUUUGGUUGUUGUUUCAUCGGAUUGUCAAGCAAAAAACUAAUAUUAGGUGAGAUGGUGUCACCAUGUUAUCUAUGAUAGCAAGUUUGUUGCUAUUGUGUUGUUAAUAUUCUUCCUCCCAAUUGGUGCAUAUUCUGAAUGUGUUUUUGAUAUUAAAGAUUCAAAAUUCCCUAAAUCAAUAGCUACAGGAAAAGAACUUCAGCAAAAAAAAAAAAUGAUUUGAUAUCUACCGUCAAGCAAUAGUUUGUCAAACUCCUAUCUAUAAAUUAUAGGUUGCUCUUAAUGAGUAAGAUCAUGCAUGUGUAUAUGAAAUCUUGAAUCUAAAAUGCCUACUCUGGAUGAUAUAUCUUGCAUUAUUAGUUUUUGUUUUUCCCCACAGAAAUCAUUGCUUCUAUUCAAUGAUUAAUAUUGUCAUUGCUACGACUGGUUAAGUCAUUAUCUAACUAGUUGUGGUCUCAUGAUAAAACUCUGAUCUGAUACAGCAGAUACUGACUUUUCAUCUGGUUUCUUAAGUUUGACAUAUAAUCACAUAUAGCUUCAAUCUGGAGUUUAACUUUGACACACAUUUAUGAUGUUUGAUGCAUGAGUGUGUAAAAAUACAGUAUGCUUACCUUAACUGCACUUUUUAAUUAUGCUCAUUUCAGGUACAUCUUUGUUGACAAAUUUGUGUUUUGGAAAGUAUUUCCUAUCUGCUGCUUGAGAUGGAUUCUUCAGUUUUCGGUUUUUGAGUGCCCACCGAAUUUCGAUUCUGAGGCAAGAGCCCAGAGGACAUCAUCUUUUCUAGAUGUAUUGCAUCGAAUAAUUAGCAUUUGGUCCAGGCGUGAGUUUGUUCAAUCAUCUUCUAUGGAGCAGCAAGCUUGUAUCCUUCUGAGCAAUAGUUUCUUAGUUUAUUUUUCUUUUCCGUUACUCUUUUGUACUUCCUUAAGUGAAAAUCAGAUGUCACUUAUGCUGUUGCUUUAUGCAUUGAGAAAAUGUCUAAAGAGGAAUUAGAAACAACCAAAGAUAUAUUGCAUUCUAUUCUUCAAGGAGUCAGCUGUAAAUUCUUCUUCUAGAUUAAAUAAUUUUAUGUGAAUUUCUACCAAAGAUUCUAUAAUAUUUUUUUAUUAAACUUGGUUCUAAGAUUUGUAGGUAGACUGGAGAGCCCAAUUGAUUUAGUUCGGAAGAUGGCUAGCUCUGUUGCAUUGGUAUUUUCUAAAGUUGUUGAUCCAAAGAACCCUCUCUACCUUGAUGAUGAUUGUUCUGAAAUUAUUGACUGGGAAUUUGGGUUUAAAAGAAAGGAUGUGGUAACUACAGAUGAAACUAGAAAAGAUAAACUAAAUGGUACUCUGUCCAAGGAUAUGGAAAAAGAUAAACUAGAUGCUACUCUGUCCAAGGUUACAGAAAGUGCCUCUCAUGCUAAAAGGCUGAAAGAUACAAAGCAUCAUGCUGUAGAUGGUGGUAAAUUGAUUUCAGAAUGCAGGGUGAAUCAUUGUGCUGGCAUGCCAAACAAUGAACAUGCCUCUGCUGAAGAGGAUGAUGGUGAAGGCAAGAAUUCUGAUGCAUCUUCAAGUGACUCACUAGAACCAUAUGAUCUGUCGGACGGUGAUACAGAUAUGAAACUUUUCUCCCAGCUUGGUGAUAUUGCUGCAGCAUUACGGAAACCAGAUGAUCCAGAUGGUGUAAGUUGCUGUGCUUACUUUAUAUAGUCAUUGUCAGGUUAUCGUCUGUCAAAAAUUUUCACCUAUUUGAAAGUUUAGUGAAGCUAUUAAUGAAUGCCCCCGUUUGAACAUUCAUAAUGCCUUACUUAUAGGUGGAAAGAGCACUGGACAGUGCUGAAAAGCUUGUACGAGCAACACCUGAUGAGCUUCCCCAUUAUUCAGGUGAUCUUGUCAGAGCAUUAGUGCAUGUUCGUUGCUCUGAUGUAGCAGUUGAAGGAGAGGAAGAUUCUGCUGAAGGAAAAAGGCAAAAAGCACUGGUUGCGUUGCUUGUCACAUGCCCAUUUGAAUCAUUAGAUGUGUUAACCAGAUUACUAUAUUCACCAAAUGUGGAUGUUAGCCAACGGAUUCUGAUACUUGAUGUCAUGACUGAGGCAGCACAAGAGCUUUCAGAGAGUACGAUCAUUAGAAUGAAACAUCAGCAAAGGAAUUUAAUAUCAAACAUUUCAGGUCAACCAUGGUUUAUUCCUAGCAGUAGAGGACCACGUGGAGCUGGUCCUUGGAAAGAGGUUUCUGAUCCUGGAACUUCUAUCAGUUGGUCCCACCGUUAUGAAAGAGAAAUUCCUUCAAGAGCUGGUCAAAUAAAGUCAGGAAAAUCUCGUAAAUGGGGUCUUGUAAAAGCCAAGGAUCCAGAGUUGGAAUCAUCAAGAAACAGAUUUCCUCUUUAUGCUGCUGCAUUUAUGCUUCCUGUAAUGCAAGGAUUUGACAAAAAAAGGCAUGGAGUAGACCUACUCAACAGGGACUUUGUUGUCCUCGGAAAACUAAUCUACAUGCUUGGUGUAUGUAUGAAAUGCAGUAGUAUGCAUCCUGAAGCAUCAGCUUUGGCUCCUCCACUUCUUGAUAUGAUUAGAUUUAGGUAGUAGAAAUUUGAUUUUUUUUUUUUAUAUGUGAAUCUAAAGACUGAUGACCUCACAGGAGUGGUUUUAUUGAAUUUUCUUCAGGGAGUUAUCACAUCAUGCUGAAGCAUAUGUCAGAAGAUCUGUGCUUUUUGCUGCAUCAUGCAUACUGGUUGCUUUACAUCCAUCACAUGUUGCAUCUGCUUUAAUUGAAGGUAAUCAGGAAAUUUCCGAUGGACUCGAGUGGAUUCGGACAUGGGCACUUCAUAUUGCCGAAUCGGAUCCAGAUGCAGAAUGCUCAACGGUAUGUAUAUUAAAGCCCCAACCACAGAACAUGCUGUCUCCAUUUGUUAAUUUUAAAUAUGAAAAUUUUAACUUCGAAUUGAUUAUCUUUAUUUGAUAAUAGUACUCCAAGAAGCAAUUUAUAGUAAAGAAUAGUUGCAAUAUGAUUAUUUAAUUUCAAAGACAUUCAAAAUUGCUAAAUUUUAGAAUCCAUGUUGGUUUAGGAUUAAACAUUCCUUUUCUGAAGAUGCUGCAUGGUUUCCUGCACUAGUUUUUAAUCAUUUCUUUACAUUUAUAUCCUUUCCUUUUCAGGCCUCAACUCAUGAAAUUUUCUACUUGUACAUAUAGUUGCACCUGAAGUCAUUUAUGCACAUAAAUUCCCUCAUUCCUUUAACAUUUUUUAGUUUUGUUUAGCAUGAUCCAUGAGUCUUACAUGUGUCUUAUUGCUAAAAUGUGGAAAUUAAGAUAUGAAACUAUCACCAUUAUGCCAUAUAUCAUUCUAAAAGAAAAAUUCUUUGUUUGCACUUUGCCAAUAAAUCUAAAAAAUAUAAUAUGUGAUUUAUGGAUUCUCAUUGCAAGUUAGGAACAUAAGUAUUGGAUUUUGUUUUACAAGAAAUGAAUUUUAUUGCUAACAGGUUACAGAUUUUCAUCAACAUAUUCUUUGAUUUAUGAACUUGAAGCUUGGACUACAACACACCGUAAUGUAUUUUCUUUUCUGAGAAAUGAACUUUGUUCCAAACGUGUUGCAGAUCUUCAUCUAAAUGUUCUUAAGUAUAUUAACUUGAAUCUUGGAUUACAACACGAAGUAACAUAAGGUUACUUGUCUGCAUUAUUAAGACUAGUUAUAUAGAUAACUUGUUUAAUGAGAUAACAGUUCGACAACUCUAUCAAUGACAGAUCUGGUUAACUAGCCACACUAUCAAUGACCAAUCUCCAUAAUGUGAAAAAUAGCAACAUGAAUGCUCUUCUGAUUUCAUUGGAAAUAUGUAUUGAUAUUGAUACUUCGAAUCAAUAGCAAAUUUCAUCAACUAAAGAAGACAUUAUUAAAGUAACUCUUCCCCAUCAUCCAAAAUCCUCUGUGUGACAUUUAUGAAUGAAAAGUAUUGAAAGAAUUCUAGUUCAUACCUUGGUUACUGUUUUGCAGCAAAUCUGUCAAUAGAUUGGGGUGUCUUAUCAUAUAUUCUUCAGCUUAUUUGUUUAUUCAUUUUUUACCUGAUACAUCAUAUAUGUACUGUGACAACGAGUUAUCUUAAUAUGCAGAUGGCCAUGACAUGUCUUCAGCUUCAUGCUGAGAUGGCUCUCCAAACAUCCCGUGCACUUGAGUCGGCCAAGUCUGUCAAAGCACGAACAAAUACCCUACCUUUGAAGUUGGAUGAUAUUAUAAUACCAUUCUCGAACAUGAGAUAAGAAAUGAGAACAAUCUGUAGUUGGAUUUUGAUGUACUUAUGCCCUCUUUUUCUAUCAUUUGCUUGAUCUUCUUUAUCUUGCAGAAGCAACAAAUAACUUGCAUCAUCCUAUGAGGUACAGAUACAAUUAAAGGUUAUUUUAUGAACUACAUAUACUUGUUUAAUUUGUUAAUAUAAGUGAAACACACAAUUAGCUGUUUUUCUAACUCUUGUGUAGAAUAAUGGUGGUAUGCUUGGUAUGUAUCUGUCUGAGCUAAAACCAAUAUGGUAUUGGACUAGUUUCAACAUUAAACCAAUAUCUUUCUUUGACAUAUCUCAUCAGUAUCAGUUAAUACUGUUAAUAUCACUGUUCACUCCAAGCUACAAAAGUGCAUCUUAUGUUCAAUGCAUUCAACAUCUUUAGGGUCUAGUAGAAAACAGCUGGAUGAAGCUAGAUAUUAUAAUUUCUUUGAAUCAUGUUACCACUUAAUGAUACAUCCUAAUCAGAGCAUCAUGAAUUUUGAUUGGACUGUCAUACCAGUCCCAUAAUUUAAGGCUUUAUUAGCAGCAGGAGGUUGAUACUCAUUUUGUAAGGCUAUAUACUGAUUUCAUCAUUUUGUUUCUUUGACAGUAUCAAAUAGAUGCUGUAGCACUUAACAAGCGUAGGAUGCUGUGUCCAGUAUUGUUGUUUCUGCUAUCUAUGUUUGUAUGGUUGUUAUGGUCUCCACUUGUGUCACAUCUACAGGAAAUAGUAGCUGAACAGUAUAUAUAUAUAUAUAUAUAUAUAUAUAUAUAUAUAUAUAUAUAUAUAUAUAUAUAUAUAUGUUGAACAGUAUAUCGUUUGGUAUAUAGUAUGUAUCAAACGAAUAUCGAAAUAUCGGUAUAAUAUGAUAUUUCAAACUUUGUUCUAAACUAUUGUGUUGCCCGAUCUCUCACUGCAUUCCACCUGACAGGUUUUGGUUAUCCUAUGAGGUGUGUCCACUUGAGAUAAAUCCCUCUCUCAGGUAGAACUUUCAUGUUUGUCUAAUGAUGCAUGGUCUAGAAUUUGAGUGUUCCUAUCAUCUAUAUCAUUUUAUCUGGAUAUGAGAAGCUGUAGCACUAACCAAUAUCUGCACUACAGGAAAUAAUUAAGUUCUAUCUUCUGGAAGUCAUGUAUGCUUCGCGGUUCUCUCACGUCGACCGCUGUCUCAAAAUAAUUAAGUUCAAAUCAAUGGUUGUACAGCCAUAAAGCCUUUAUAUAACUCAAUAUGUGAAUCAAGCCUGCAUGGAUGCGUGAUGGAGGCCAUGCAAUGUUCCUAAUUUUUCGAGUACUAAACAACAUAUUCUAACCGGGCUUUUGAAAACACGUUCCUUCAUGUUUUUAUUAUUUAAUUAUUUGAAUUUAUUAUGUUUUUGGAACACAAUAAUUUCCUACCUUCUCAGUGAAGAAGAGCCAAAAGCACGUCUUCAUCCUUGUGUUCCUUUUCUUCUUUCUUCCAGAGACAUUGGCCUUUGUUCCAGAAACCUUACGUGCCAAGUCACACUUUAUCUUUCUUCUUUCCCAUCAGAUAAUAAUAAUAAUAAUAAUAAUAAUAAUAAUAAUAAUAAUAAUAAUAAUAAUAAUAAUAAUAAUCAAUAAAAUAAAUAAAUAAAUCUUGGGGCGUAACAUUCUCGAUGCCCACGUGACUCGAGCCCCCAACAAUCCAUGUCACGUGAUGGCAAGCUCCACUUGGACCCCAUGCGGCUUCCCGCCAUUGCGCGUUGAAACGUGGCACCAGGCUAUCCUACUUUCGAUGCCAUGUGGCGUUUUGACCGGCUCGUUAACGGUCCUCGGGCACAUCGAACCGUUAGGAGAGCCACGAAAAAGCGAUUUGCCAUCACCAGUAGUACCGGUUCGCCACGAUGUGGGACCGAGACUGCUCCCAAUCCAUGUCGCUGGGUAUUUGGGCGGGUGGAAUCGUUGCUCGUCGUAUAUUUCCAUCACCCACCUUGGCUUCCCCUAUAUAAGGACAAACCCCUGGCCUGUUUCUUGAACUCGAAUGCUCGUCUCGCCGUUCUCCUCGAUAGCAUUUCGACUUCGCUCUAGUUUCUGAUCGUGAUGGGUAAAACAGUCUUUCUCCCCUUCACAUCGUUCAUCUUGUUAGUCUUCUAUUUGGCUUGUGAUCUUAUUUGUUGGCUCGGAUUUGUAGGCAAGAUCAAGAUCGGGAUCAAUGGUGCGCUUCUCUUGCCCUCUUGUCUUCCUUGUAUCUCCUUAGAGGGAUGUUUCUUUGAAGUACCGGUGAUGAUUUUUAGGGUUUUUUUGGUUUGUAAAUGGAGCGAUGCUUUAUCGAUAUACGUUGAUUUGUAAUCUCGUAGGGUUCGGAAGGAUCGGGCGAUUGGUGGCGAGAGUGGCUCUCCAAAGCAGCGACGUGGAGCUCGUCGCUGUUAACGAUCCUUUCAUCACCACCGAUUACAUGGUAAGACGCUCCUCGCUUCUCUAUUCCGUUCUUACUUGAAGCCUUAAGGAUCCAUACAAGACAAGCUAUCUGCUAAUGGAUUGACUAUAUGUCCAAGAGUAAGCCUGACUUGUUUGCUCAGAUUCAGAAGAGACAUGUUCCGUGAACACUCGGAACCCUUGUGGUCACUUAUGGAGAAGAUGGAACUUCCUUUCUCAUCUAAGUGGCAAGAAGAAUCGACGACCAUGCCAUUAGUAGUUAAAAUUAUACAACUUCUCUAGUCAGAUCGAGUCACUUAUUUGGUGGUCCAUCUCUACAAGAACAUGGCCUCCGGUGUUGAGAUUGCCUAUUUGUUAUUCCUGACUUCACUGAUGCAGUUUAUGAUCUUUGUGUGCGCAUAAAUUCACACGUUCAGAAAAGAAAAUCCUAUCAAAUGUUCCCUCAUAUUGUUCCUCCGGUUGCAAUUUGCUGAAUACUUGGUUUGCUCAAACUUAUCGCUAGAUCUUGUGUUUUAUAGCAUCUUCCGGUUGGAUUGAGUUGCUCACUGUUUAUGACUUCGCAGACGUACAUGUUUAAGUAUGACACCGUGCAUGGUCAAUGGAAACACCACGAUGUGAAGGUUAAGGAUUCCAAGACACUUCUCUUUGGUGAAAAGGAAGUCACUGUUUUUGGACUUCGGUAGGUUGGAUUUCAGUCUUCUUUUUCCUGAUAGUGAUCAAACUCAAUACUUCAUAUCGUUUGGAGGAUACUUGAACUUACUAGAAUUGGUUCCUCAAGGAACCCUGAGGAGAUCCCAUGGGGUGAGACUGGUGCUGAGUAUGUUGUUGAGUCAACUGGAGUUUUCACUGACAAGGACAAGGCUGCUGCACAUUUGAAGGUCAUCUCUAUUAGAAUGUUUUUUCUGAUGAUAUUCUCUCAGUUGGUUUUGCUAUCAUACUGAUGGAAGUUUACACUGAUGUUUUACUUGCUUUUGUGCAUUCUUUAAUUCCAGUUCCAAUAGUGAACGUUUAUUCGACUUAAAUGUCCAAAGAAAAGAAAUUUAAUGCAAUUAAUUAGCAGUACAUAUUUUUCAUGCUAGCGUUGGAUUAUCAACCUGAAAAGUAAUUUGCAUCUAACGGAUAAGGAAGGUGGAUCAAACUUAUUUUAACUUUGCCUUGAUGUCAGAGAUGGUGUCAUGAUGGCACUUGAUGACCAAUCUAAAAUGAACAGGAAACUCGAUUCAAUUUUGCUAUUAGGUGAUGAAUCUUAGUUCAUUUAGCUAUCGCUCACAAAUUGCAACCUUAAUCUCUGUCAUGCGAAAUAUUCAUUGACUUGUGAUGGAUAUUUUACAAGCUUCAACUUACUGUUUUGAGAUUGAGAAAAUAUCUUCGCUUUACCCUUCCGUUUCUUAUCCUUAUCUGAUUGCUUUUCAUAAUCAUAGGGUGGUGCAAAGAAGGUGAUCAUUAGUGCUCCUAGCAAAGAUGCUCCCAUGUUUGUGGUGGGCGUGAACGAGCAUGAGUACAAGCCGGAUAUUGACAUAGUCUCCAAUGCCAGCUGCACCACUAACUGCCUGGCUCCCCUAGCUAAGGUCUCAUUUGCCUUCAUAUAUAGUGUACCUUAAAGAACGUGAAGCCUUUUAGAAAUAGAGCUCAUCUUAUGUAUGUCUGGAUCAUCGCAGGUUGUCCAUGAUAGAUUUGGUAUCAUUGAGGGGUUGAUGACCACAGUACACGCAAUUACUGGUAAUUUUUUUGUGAAACAUAGUAUCACUUUUGUUCUUUUUUUGUAACUCUAUUUUUAUGCUCAAUGGUUUUUUUUUGUUCUAUUUUCUUUUCCUUUGUUUUUAGCUACCCAAAAGACUGUUGAUGGACCCUCUAGCAAGGACUGGAGGGGUGGAAGGGCAGCUAGUUUUAACAUCAUACCGAGUAGCACUGGAGCUGCCAAGGUAUGCUCAUACGUUACUCUGUCAACGUUAAUCCCCUCUCAAAACAGAGUUUAGUUGUCAGUCACACCCCCAUUAGCUGGGGUCAUCUUUGUUUGAUUCUUCAAAUAUGUAUGUCUCCUAUCCUUCUGUCUUGUUUGAAUAAUGCUUAAAAAAUGUUUGAACUUCUAGUUUGAUCAUGACUUCAUACAUGACAUUCCAUAUUUCCAUAUCUGUAGUGUUUGAGCAAGUUUUGGAAACAUUAAAUGCCAUUUAAAGGCCUCAUUUCUCAUCAUAUAUAUUACGAUUUUUGAGUUGGCCUUGUUGUGUGGAGAUGAAUCAUCUGAGUAAUGUGUUGAAUGAUUAUAAAUUAUACAAGUUUUAUAGAUAUAAAUAAUAAUUUAAUGCUUUUAUUAUCCUCAAAUAUUAUGGCUUGCAUCCUGAGUUUGGAUCGGAUCGUGGAUGAAUCUUUUUUUUUAAUUUGAUUACUGAUUCAUGUCUCAUUUUUUGGUUGAUCAGUGGCUUCACUUACAGUUGUGUGUUUUCUUGAUUGUCUAGGCUGUUGGGAAAGUUCUCCCUGCUUUGAAUGGGAAACUGACGGGGAUGGCUUUCCGUGUUCCUACUGUGAAUGUCUCUGUGGUGGAUCUCACUGUUAGGAUUGAGAAGGCUGCAACAUACGAUCAGAUAAAAGCAGCGAUCAAGUAUGUAUUCUGAAUAUUUUGCUGUAGAUACCUAUUCUAAAACAUUAAAUAGUUCAAGUAUAAUGUUGUCGUAUGCAUGAUAUCAGAUUUUAGAUAUAUUCUUUCUUUAAUAGGAGUACUUGCUAUGCUCGAUCUCUUAUUCUAUUUCGUGUGGCUUAUGUACGGUGUCAGAGACCUCAGGUAUAGUAUUUUGAUGCCAGAAGACUUGGGAGGUGGUGUAAUUUGUUCUGAUGGUGGGAGUUCCUUAUAUGUAUAUCUUGCAUUAUUCUAGUCUUACUCCUCAAUCAUUAAUGAUAGGGAAGAAUCCGAGGGCAAGCUGAAAGGAAUCUUGGGUUAUGCUGAUGAGGACUUGGUUUCGAUGGACUUUGUUGGUGAUAACAGGUGCUGUCUUAUGUAUAUAUAUAUAUAUAUAUAUAUAUAUAUAUAUAUAUAUAUAUAUAUAUAUCACAAAGAAAUUAGUACAGGAACACUCGUGGUUACUGAGAGUAACUCCCUGUUGCAGCUGCUUUUUAUUCUGUUUAAUUUGAAUCGUUCAAACAGGUCGAGCAUUUUUGACGCCAAAGCUGGGAUUUCUUUGAAUGAACAUUUUGUUAAGCUCGUGGCUUGGUACGAUAACGAAUGGGGUUACAGGUACUUUAAAAGUUUGUGUAUCUUAGGUAUUUGGUGGACUUCUCCUCUUACUGUCUUUUAAAUUAUUAUUAUUUCUUUUUUGAAUUUUACAGCUCGCGUGUGGUCGAUCUGAUUCGUCACAUGGCUACCACCAAGUGAAAUUUAGUUGCUUAACCCACUAUCUGCUGGUGUCGACUUGUUUGUGGUUUAUGUUUUCUUUAAAAUAAUUACCGUGUGAUUGGACUCGGGAUGGUUGUGUGACGCGACUGAUCUUUGUCUUAGUCGAGACUCGCGUGGAUCGAAUCUGGAGGAUCGUUUUUUCUACUGGUUGUGAUUGGUAUAGCCGGAAUCACCAGGCUUCUUGCACCAUGUUUUAGCUUCUGGUAAUUAGCUGCUACUGUUUCUUUAGACUGAGGUGAUGGUGAUUAGCCUUGCGGUCGAGAACUUGUGCUCGGUCUGUGGGCUAGUGUUUUCUAACAAUUUUACAUGUUUCCAAGUUGUGUUUUCAGUUCACUCAUGGUCUCUAUUUUCUACAGUUCAUAUGAAGUUUUAUUAAGAUUUUAUUAAGCCUUUGAACCGAGUAGAGUUCUUUUUUUUUUUUUUUGACAAAUGUUUGCCAAACACAAUGCAGAAAGAAGAACAGAGUCGUUAAAUCUCUCUUAACAUUCUGUAGUAAAGAUCCUCAGAGUACAAGAUAUUUCUCUGCGAAACCAUUUCUCUUAAAUCUCUCCGAAACCAUCAUCAUUCUUCUCCUUCCCGUGUCAAUAGGAUAAUCAUUCUUCUCCUUCCCGUGUCAAUAGGAUAAAGAUACAAGGCUAGCUCCGUUGGUGAUCAACCACAACAAUAUCCUGCAAUCAGGGCUGAUGGUAACAGAGAUUAACGUGUCAUAACAUGCAAUAUGUCGACUGAAAGUCAUCCAUAUUUCUUCCAAUCUGUAGAUACAAAGCCUACAAGUCCAGUUGAAGUACUUGUAAAAAGUUUAGUGCCUAUCCAAUAAGAACUAUCAAACAAUAUUGGAACCAAAGACUUCCGUUAGUUAAGCCAGUAUUACCUCUAUUAAGAUUAUCUUAUAAAAUUAAGAAACCAAGAUCCAGAAAACUUACAUCAAAUCUUUCACCAAAGAAUGUAGUAGAAUAUGAAGCAAGUAGAAUUUGCACGGAAAGCCAAAAUUUUACCUGUAGAUUUCCAGCGAGGACUACUGGCUUCGAAGAGUCAUACAUCCCAAAGUAAAGACCACGAUAGACCAUAAUCCCAACGCAUGAAAUAUUAAAUCCUUUCUAAAGUCCAGCAAUGCCAAACCCAACUGCAGGGUCUUCCGGUAAACAUCACCAAGACCACUGAAUUGCCGUUCCCCGCCCUUCUUCGCUGCCUUUGCAUCAUUUGCCAAAUGCGUACGAGCAUAGUCCACAGAGUACACGAAAACCACUGAACGAGCACCAGCAGCACCACCUGAAGCUAGAUUGCCAGCAAACCAUUUCCAGUGUCCAUCUUUGUCUUUCUUAAAAUUAAACAUCCUUUUGAAGGAAUCCUUCAAGGUAAAGUUCAGAGCCUGGAAGCGAUAAACUCAGUUUAUCAGUAAGUGGAGCUGAAGGGGGGAAAAAGCACAAUAAGCAAAACGGUAAGAAGGGCAAUUGGUAUUCCAGAAAGUGAAACUAUAAAUCAAACUAUAAAUAAUGCCAUUUGUUUCAUAUAUAUAAAGUGACUGCAAAAAUUGUACAUUCUUUUUUGUACAAAUUAUCAUAAAACAUGAUAACUAUGGGUAAAUUGAACCAACUGGUGACUGGUUAAUUUAACCGACUGAUGCUCCAUUUCCACAUUGUAACAACUGCUUGUAGAGAACAGAAAUCAUUCCAAUAAGUAGGUCAUGCAUCAAAAGCCAAGACCAAGCAGCAUGAAGUUUGAUGGUCACACAGAUUCCGCAAUUUUAGUUACCACCACUAUGCUGACAAACUAGAUUACAGAUCAAUAUCUGAGACUAUAACACUGAAAUCACUGUUUGAUGAUGGCUUAUCUAUGUUCGCAACAUAAGUUUUGAUAUUUAGACAAAACAUGAUCUAUAGUACAAGAAUGUCAUUAACGAAGAAAAACAUAUAAUGACACAGUAAGAAGAGUUUCUGAGCAAAAGAACAAUAUCAAAGUAGUUAAAAGACCAUGAAAACCAAGCCAAAUCCAGCCUGUUAACUACCAGACAUUUAAAGAAGCAGGUGCAAACUGAAACUUGACGAUCCAACACGCCUUCAUGGUGAUUUUUGUAUGAAGAAAUUCUGGGAUUAAAUUGAAUAAAUGUGUAACACAAACACAUAUAAGUUUACCUGAGCGGCAAAAUAACGAAUGACAUUAGCUGUGUUCCCUCUCCAUAGAGACAAAGCACCUUCAUCCUUAAUCGUUCAGGCAAAGCUGUCUCUCAUACAAAGAUGGCUACACAGGCUGCAGUUCAAAGCUUGUGGACCUCGAGAAAAUCUGGACCCGAGGGGGAAUGGGCUGGCAACUUUCUGCAUUACGAUUGGGUGAUUAACUUGAUCAGCCAUGGCAUGCCGAUAAAAUGACCUACAAAACAACCACUUUGAAGUUCUGCAGAAGAUAUUCUGAGAUUCAAGCAACAUUACUAAGAUAAAUUAUAACAUAUGGUCACUGCCAUAUUAACUCAAAGCAUGAGCAAUUACCAAGUCGUAGUAUUCCUUCAAAGAAUUAACAUGUCUACAGAUGUGGUGAGGUAGGAAAAAGUCAAAUGAACAAACAAUUUGCAUUACAGGACAUACAAAAUGUAAUAGCAUGAACAAAAUAGAAGGAAUAAAUCAUCAUAAAAGCAAACUCUAUUGUUAGUUCCAACUGAACUGCCAUGAUCACGGAACACAAAGUCUAAUUACUAGUUGAUCAUUAAACAACAAAACUUUGCUCCAACUACUGCUACAGCUCUGUUAUCUUUGUAUUCUUAAAAAAUCAAUGGGUCAAUGAAGAUGCAGCUGGCAGAUUUUGCGUUGGCUUCAUGCAUCUCUAUUAAUUUAUAACUCAUAGAUGAAAAGGUGGAUAUUCUUUAGAGAUCUGAGCAAAUGAAGCCAAAACUGCAAUCACGAAUACCCAACAGGCACCCUUGACAAGGUAAUAUGGGUAAUAUCAUCCCCAACAAUCUCAACUAUGUAUUAUAAAUUUAGCCACAUAAAAACCGCAAGUUAUAAAUCAAAAUAGGUAUCGUGAUGAGAUGAGAAGCUACAAGCUGCAAGAUCUAAAACCUCCAAGUCACCCUGAGAGGUCAACCACCUCGAAAGCUAUCGAGGACGGAAUUUGCCAACAAGGAUUACAGCAAAAGAGAGCAGAUGGGAUUCGUACACGAAAUCAAGUAUAUAGAACAAAAUCACCCUUAAAACCAUUGCAGAUCUACCUGAUCUAACAGUUUGCAGGACAACCAAAUCAACAGUCAUACCCACCAUAUCCAUGUCUUAAAACAAGAUUCCCAACCCUAAAUCGAUCGAAGUAUGAACGAGAAAAUGGAAAGCGCGACAACGAUAUGGAGAAAGAAAUAGAUAUCUACCAAACGGAUAGCUUAAUCAAAGAUACCACCGAUCCGAAACUUAGUAGAGAGCACACUUCUAAAUAUCUUCAAAAAGACUCGAAAAUAGAAAGAUGGAAGACAAGAAUCGAUCGAUCCACUCAGAUACACGAUCAGCAAUCACAUAAACGACAAGGCCUUUAAAAUAGAUUCAUAUUCUUAGAAAUCAAGAAAGAGUUCAUAUGGAAGUAGGGUUUUACCCUUCCGAAGCGUCUCCCUCUUGUCUCGGAGACAAGGCGAGAUGCGUUGGAAACGCAACGACGAGACCGAGAGAGGGAGUGGAGCGGUUAAGCCACUCCUGUGCUGUAUCAAAGGGCUUUCUGUUAACGUGCAAACCAUCGUCAGCGGGACUUGAUAUAUUGACCGUUGGAUCUCAUCAAAGUACCGACGAGCAAUAUGAUGAGCGGCGGAGCUUGAUUCUUUGUAAUUUGGACCAUAUAUUUCGAAGGUGCACGUGGCGGAGUAAAAAAAAAAAUACAACCAAGUCAUGCUUGUUGACCCGUUCGUAUACCGACUACUGUGUACCUCCUAUACGCAGGUGGGACCCGAUCAGUGAAGGAAGGCGGCAGUGACGACAUUCAAAAAGGUCGUCGGAGGCAUACUUCCACCUGCGUGCCGGCCACGUGACCGAACGCCGCUACCUACUGAACCGUGGCGAAUCUCUAUCGCAAUCGAGGCGAACCGGCGGAAACGGCUUUACUGGAGAGGAGAGAGAGAGAGAGAGAGAUCAGAAAUGAGAAUAAUAAUAAUAAAUAUUUCGAAUAUCAAUUUUCUUUUACUCAAAAGAUUAUUUAAAUCAAGAAAAGCUUAAAAAAGUGCCUCUCAAGACCAAAAUAGGGCAGAAUACAAAACUCAAGAUAAUUUUUUUUUCAAAAAAAUAGCACGGUAAAAAUAGUAUGAGUAAUAGAUUUGAGAUUUAAAUCUAACCUCAUGUACGUUAUUUAAUAUAAUAAAAAUAAAUGUACAUGCGCAAAAUAUGAAUAUUUAUAAUAUUAACCACACAUCACCAAAAACCUCAUGCCACAACUGGAACAGGUCAACAACGUUGGCCAAACGACCGAUUCCCACGCACGUAAAACGCUCCUCGCAACCGCCAAGCUUUGAGGUAGCAUCUCCGACUAUCCAUCCCGGCAACUGAAACACGCUAUAAAACCCUCCUUCCCAUCCCACAUUCCUCCUCAGGCCUGCACAGGAGGAGAAACAAGCCACCCCAAAUAAGUUUCUCUUUCUCUCUCGCUACCAUCUCUGCCGUAGCUCCAAGGCCACCGUCGUCAGCAAUGGAGAUGGGAAAGAUCGCCUGUGCCAUCCUCGUUGCCGCCGCGUCGGCCACCACCGCCCUUGCAGCCGAGGCCCCGGCUCCCGGCCCCGCCAGCGCCUCCUUCGCGGUCACCCCCGCUUUUGGAGCCGCCGUCGGGGCCGCCGUCCUCUCCUUCUUCGCCUUCUACUUGCAGUAGCCUCAAUGAGCGAGAGAGAGAGAGAGGGAAAGAAAGAAGGCAGCCCUAUAUGGGGAACGAAUGACACGACUGUUCUCUUUGUUUGUGAUCUAUUUCAACGUUGCAUCGUCCUUUGACUACCAUCGUUGUUGCCAUCUUUCUAUUAUGGAAUUAAUUUCCGAUUGAAAUGAAUGCACCAUAACAUUUGCAAUCACUUUGUUACCAAAGCUAUUGUUAAUUCGAAUUAGGGAGCUAAUCCGACAUGAAUCUUCCAUUGUUAUCAUAGCCAUCAGAGUCAAAGCAAGUUGCAUCACCAAACUCCUAAACGGACGACACCAUCACAUGAUGCAUAAGCUUGGCAGUGCAACAAUCAAAAGAAAACUAAGCACGUCGCCAUCGUAAUAUACACCCAACGUGAUGCAAAAGACUCUUCGAGGAGUAAUUAUUGAGUUUAAAUUUCC
rnacentral:lncRNA from 1 species